AUCCGCGUGUUCGCCUGCCGCAACAUCUCUCGAGCACAAUGGUUUAGACCGCGGUGUAGGCGUGAGUGCUCGCUGCUCGACCGUGGCUGAGCAAUCUUCGUGUUGUGUCAGAUUGUUACUCCAGUGUGUGUGUGGUUCAUGGUGGUGGUGGUGUUUACUGGUAACAUCAUGUGUUAACUUUUUCUCUGUUUUUAUUGUCUUCAGUUCAUUUGAGCUGCAGUAUACAGUAUACAGUUUCAUUGCUUGUUCAGUCAAGAAAUGGUAACCAGUUCUGCGUUGCGCGCUUCUCUUCUUCCGUGCGACUUCCGGCUCGUAUUUGAUCCAACGGAAACGGAAUCCUGAACUGCAGAUAGAUAGUUCUGCGUUUUCUGAAUUUUCUGUGAAUUUUCAGUCUGGAGUAGGCAUAUGCUGAGCAUAUUAUGGAUAGGAAGCAGCAUGCUCUCGGAAUUCCUGGCGUGCCGGCAAAUGUUAUCAUGCUACAGCACAGACAAUCCUCUCUCGGAAAGGAAAAAAAAAAACACAGACGAUAUGCUAAUAUACUCUGAAUGCAAGCAAUCUUCUGUUCUUGAAAUAGUAUGUCCGAAAAUUUUGGCAUGCUGCUUAAUAAGCUAAUAAAAAAGCUUAAAAAAAGAUUGCCGAGCAUAUUUGUCAUAUGCUUGCUUAGCUAGACGGUGGCCUCAAUCAUUAAUCCUUGAGUUUGUAUGCUGAGUGUGCAUGCCGCGCACGGAACCACCACAGCACGAGCCACCUGACGGCGCUCGUGUGUUUGGUGUGCCUCCAUUUGGGCACGCCCAGUGAGCUGACUGCUCACUUAAGAGGUGGUUCUCGCACGCUCGAGUGGCCGAGGUGGGACUAAACAAAACUGUGUCCAUUCUUGAGGGGCUGAAGUCUGAAGGCUGUGAGCACUGAGCAGUGUGACCUGUGUGAGCAGCUGCUACUGGGCUGGGCCGCAUGGAGAAAUGGUGAGGUAACCUGUGUUCGCAUUCUUGAGGGGUCGCCGCCGUCGCCAUGCUGCUGGACACUCCAGAGCCUCAUCUACUGGACAUCGGCGCGCUCGCCAACGACUAGCAAACCCUCAGCAGGUACACACUCCAAUACAGUGCAUGUCUGAUGAAUUCAGUUCCUGGCAGAUUUUGGAUUGGUAACAAUUUAUCAUGAUCCACUCAUAGUCAUAUUGGGUACUAAUAAUGACCAAUCUUAACCUUGUUUAAGAUACUAUAUACUUGAAUUGGUUAACUGUUAAUUUGGUAUCUGGGAUAAAUAGGAUUAUUUAAACAUAAAAUGCUGAAUUGUGAAUAUAAAAUGCUGAAUUGGUUAACUAGAAGCCACUGUUUGAUAGAACACAUUUCCUUCUGAACUGAUAGUUCUCACUCUGUUUGAUACUAGCAGACUGCUUAGGAAAGUUCCACAUUGGAUAAGAUACUCCUUAAAUUUUGGAGAGUCCACUAACUUUACACGGCUAGGUUCAAUAUUAAAAUGCUUGAAGCAUGCCAUGUGAAUCAUCAUCAGUGUGGAAACGGGGUGAUCUUUUCUUGUAAUAUACUCCCUCCAUCCUAAAAUAUUUGUCGCUGAUUUAGUACAAAGUUAGGGCGGAGGGAGUAGUACUUAACUGAAGUGAGUGUGUGUGAUGACCUGGGGGGGGGGGCUUGAAGUGCCAUGACCAUCACGGCAGAUACUAACUAGUUAAGACAAAAGGGAAACAUCAUUUCAGUCUCAUUCUUUCCCCCUCUUGAAAUUAGGUGUGAGAGUCUUGCCUGCUGUCUGAAACCUAGUGUUAUCCAGCUUCAGAAAUUCUUGCCCACCUGUUCUGCUUCUGUAUAUUGAUAGGAAUGUGCUUACAACAAUAAAUUCGAUUCCUGGUAGGUUGUGAUAGAUAAGGAUUUUUAUUCAGCCACCUUUUUCUUCUCUUUUCUUAGAAUAAAUUCACAAUGUUGCUCUCCAUAGGCCGGUCCUAAGAAAUAAACUAAAAUGGUCCUUAGUGUCAUAGUCUGUGUGAAGAGGCCUUGGUGUGUAAGUAAUACUUUCUGAAGUAUGGACAGUCGCAUGCAUCAUUCUUAGCAUGCAUUUGCUAUUUCUUUCAAGUACAAGGUGGGCAUACUCAUGCAUAAUGCAUUUGGUGUUGGUGUUGGUGUUGGUCAAUAAAAAUUGCUCUUCUGAACAAAAGUAUAUGCAAUAUGUGUUGGUCAAUAUAUCAAGUAGCUGUCUGAAUAAAAUUUCCAACUUAUAAUGCAGAUACGUCGGCUUCUACAAGGGUGUGCAGAGCGCAGGAGCAGCCGUGGCAUGGCAGGUCGACACCCACAAGACGUCCCUGCUGUCGCAGCUGAUCGUCAACUGGGGCCUGUGCACCGUCAGCUACCCGCUGCUCGCAGUCCUGGUGCUCCUGGCCGUGAAGGACGAGGACUACUCGGUGUCCAACGUCGACGACGCCGGCAAGGAGAAAGGGCCGCCCCGUCAAGCUUCCACUGAGAGGAUACAUCAGUUAUUCAUCAGCAUGUUCGUCUGCCGCGACAUCUCACAAGUACAGUGGUUUAGGCCUUGGUGUAGGCGUGAGUGCUCGCUGCUCAGUCAUCAUGCGAUCUUCGUGCUGUGUCCAACUGUUACUCCAGCGUGUUUGCACUUCAUGGUGGUGGUGGUGGUGUUCAUUCAUUGGUAACAUCGUGUUAUAUUUUUCUCUCUGUUUUCAUUGUCUUCGGUUCACUUUAGCUGCAGUAAAUGGUAACAACACAGAGAAUACAGUUUCAUUGCUUGUUCGAACCGCUAUGUCAACCAGGAAACGCCAUCCGGCUACGCGUUGUGCAUUUCUCUUCUUCCGUGCAAUCUCUGGUUCGUAUUUGAGCUCAUGGAAACAGAAUUCUGAACUGUCAGGCAGUUCGUUCGAAGUAGGCAACCUGAACAGCUAGUUAUGCGUUUUCUGAAUUUUUCAGGCAGUCUGGAGUAGGCAUAUCAAGCUGCAAUUUUCAGGUAGUCUGGAGUAUGCACAUCUUGAACAUAUGGAUAGGAAGCAGCAUGAUCUUCGAAUUCCAUGGCGUGCCGGCAAAUGUUAUCAUGCUACAGUACAGAUAAUCUUCCCUCAAAAAGAAAAAUAAAUACAAACGAUGUGUUUCUUAUAACCACUCUUUGGCUAGCUAAUAUACUCUGAAUACAAGCAAUCUUCUUUACCUGAAAUGUGUUUGAAAAACUGAGUACAGGCAAUCUUCUGUACUUGAGAUAUGUUUGAAAAUUAUGCUGCUUAGCUAAUAAAAAAAGGUUAAUAAAAGAUUGCCGAGCAUAUUUGUCAUAUGCUUGCUUAGCUAGACGGUGGUUAAAAAAAAAAACUACUGUAUUUGGCUAGCUAAUAUACUCUCGCAGUGAACAGCAACUUACACGAGAAGUGUCAAACGUUUGUAACACAUAAAUAAACAGAGUAAAAAGAAAAAGAUUGCCCAGCAUAUUUGACAUAUGCGUGCUUAGCUAGACGGUGACCUCAAUCAUUUUCACUUGGGUUUGUAUGCUGAGUGUGCAUGCCGCACACGGAACCACCACAGCACAUGGUGUGCCUCCAUUCUGGCACGCCUGCUCAGCUCACUGCUCACUUAAGAGGUGCUUCUCACACCACUGAGUGGCCGAUGUGGGACUAAACAACAAGGAAACUCUGUCCAUUCCCAUUCGGCAUUCGCGUGGAGGGGCUGAGGCGUGAAGGCUGUGGGCUGUGAGCAGCUGCUGUUGGGCUGGGUCCGCGAGAAAUUCGGAUUCAUACCGGAGUAAGCACUGCAGUAAUUUUGACUGCCUUGUCUAACAAAAAGUAAUUUUGAUUGCCUCAGUGCUCUGGAUGUGAAAUGCAAUUACCUACUGUGCUGGGCCGCAUGGAGAAGAAAUGUAAUAAUGAUAGGCGGCUGCGUUUGACACUGGUUGAUUAACCAAUCCAUUUCUAGAUUUUACAGUUGAAAAAAAAAUCUAGUUUCAUGACUAUUUUUUCAAAGCAGUCUAUACCACAACACAGUUCAGCAACGGGCGAACGAAGGACAAUUUUUGCCUAUUUUGGUGCUAGUUUGAACCAUUUAUCUCUAGGUUUUCAAGUUGAAUUUUUUUUAUCUCUAGUUCCAUGACUGUUUUUCACAGCAGAUCAUAUCGCAACACAGUUCAGCAACCGCAAAACUGACCCUGGUUCCGCAGCGCAAUGGAGAAAUGUAUACAAAUACGUAAAAUGGAGUUCCGCAGCGCAAACAGAUAUUGCUUUAUUGAGAUAAUUAUUAAGCUUAUAGCAUCCAGAUAGCUACAGUCACGAAAACGGGAGUACAAAGGUCACCCUGAAAACUGGCCCAAAAUUUCAAAAACAAUUACUUAUCAGAUAUGCCUACAGUCACAAAACAAUUUUACAUGUUGACACAGUAGCACCUGAAAUAGGGCCCACUGCCAACCUUUACCUUGUAUAUGCUCAAUGUCACAGGAUCUUCUACACGAGCUCGAGAACAAGCGCGGAUGCUCCGCCACCGCCAUUGCAGACGCCAGCGACCCGACUUUGCCACCCUUCUCCCCGAGGACCUGUGGAGCAGCGCAACAUGGUUAGGGCAUUUCUAACCAAUCCCCUAUCCGGCAUUAGAGGAGUACAAAGUCGGUUGGACGGCGAACCAGACUGUUUCUUGAGGCGACACAGCCGUAAGGCUCGCAACAAGCAAGCUACAGUGUUGCCCGCUGGUCGUUCCAUUUGCUGGGAGCUCGUGUCUUGUAGUUUCUUUGAGCACACUAUUGACGCAGAAGGCAAGCUCAAGAACCUGUUCAGGAGCAGCCGUGGCAUGGCAAGUCGACACCCACAAGACGUCCCUGCUGUCGCAGCUGAUCGUCAACUGGUGCUACUCGGUGUCCAACGUCGACGACGGCGGCAAGGAGAAAGACACCAAGAUGGCCGCGCCAUCAAGCUUCCACCGAGGAGAGGAUAUGUUUCAGUCAUUCAGCGUGCUUGCCUGCCGCGAUACUUCACAAGCACAAUGGUUUAGGCCGUGGUGUAGGCGUUAGCUUGGCCGACGACGACAAGGAGAAAGACACCGUCGCCCCAUCCCAGCUCUACCCUCAUGUGCUCCGGCACCGGUGCCGCUGAGGUGGACGGUGGAGCUACGGCGGCUGGUGGUGCCGGCAUAUUCAGUUUCAGCAUAUGCUCUUGGAAACAAGCAUUCAGUCUGGAGUAGGCAAAUCUUGAGCAUGUGGAUAGGAAACAAGCAGCAUCAUCUUAGAAUUCCAUGGCAUGAACCUACAAAUGCAUACACCCUAGUAGUGCUGAACCUAUGAUGCAAAAAGUGAAAUGAACUUGCUUCAGUCUGUGUCCUCCCCUCUCCUCUCCUCGCCCAUCCAAGUCCCUAAGUCAUAAGUCGCACGCGCAUCCUGCACGCGGAUGGAUUGCUACCUCUAGUAUAUAUAGUGAUGAGAGAUGGUCUUAGAAGAAGGUGGUUUGGACUAGGAAGAAAGAAGCCAGAGGGAAGGCGAUGCCAUGGAUCAGUGAGGUGGCAGGCCAUGCCACGGAUCAGUGACGUGGCACAAGCUACAUCCUUGUCAUUUCCUGAAAAUGUUUUUUAAUGACUUGGAAAAGAGAUUACAUGCCAUCACUAAGGUGUCUCUGAUUUUUAGCAAACUAUCUUUCACAGUCAGUCAAGCCAUUCUAUUAUGCUUUCUUUCUUUGAGGAUGCCAAAAAAUCAAUUGUUCUAUUAGGUUUGUAAUUUGCCUUUGAUAUUCAUUUUCCAACAGCAAUGAGCAUCCAAAACUCAUGAGUUUUAGUUUUCCAGGCAACAAACAAACAAAUAAUAAGGCUUUCGAAUAAUGUGAAUUGACUUAUCUAAACAGAACUCCAAUAAUUUAAUAAUUUGAAUUCUUUUGUCUCUUCUUUUUGAGAUAAUUUGGAUUCUUCGUUGAAUGAUGUGCCAAGUUUCUCGACAGAAUGUUCGUAGAGCAAACCACCCUGAUAUAUACAAUAAAUAAUAAUAAUAAAGUUUUGUUUGAACUGAGUUGCCUACCAUGCUAUAUACACAGGUCCCAGGUUGCCUAGUGCCCAGCUAGACAUGCUGAUUGUUUCUUUUGCAAAUAUUGAUUGAUGCUGAAACAAAAGGAGAUCACAGCUGUAUGUUCACUUGUUUCAGCCAAUAAAUUAAUCAAGGAGAAUAUAUGCGUGAGGUGAAUCCAAUCUAUAUAUCGAGGAAAACAAGAGAAACAAUCACUAAAAACAUCACCGGUUCAUGAGUUCAAACAAAGCACAUGGCAUAGCUCAUUAGUUCAAUAUAUCUCGUGAGGUGAAUUUUCUGUCUGGAGUAGGCAUAUCGCAAAUGUUAUCAUGCUACAGCAAAAGGUGAAAAAAAAGGAUUGCCGAGCAUAUUUGUCAUAUGCUUGCUUAGCUAGACGGUGGCGUUUUAAUCAUUAAUUCUUGGGUUGUUAUGCUAAAUGUGCAUGCCGCACAUGUUACCACCACGACACGAGGCACCUCAUGGCUCUCGUGCGCUGGGUGUGCCUCCAUUUGGGCACGCCUACUCAGCUGACUGCCCACUUAAGAGCAUCUCUAGCAGAACCUGCAUAAGUGGUCAAACCCGUAAUUUUUUUGUGUUUUAUAAUUUUGGGCGAAAACAUGUCCAUAACAGAAACCGUAAAAGUGGUCCAACCCGUAAAAUUUUUAAGGGCCGUCGCAAAUGCACACCCGAAACCCUUAUCUUUGGAGGUUGGAAGGCCGAAUCUAGGGGGCCCCGUAUACCGGUCAAACCUCGUCGGAGCAAACACGCCGCCGCGGAGUUUGCCGACAUUCGCCCUAAACUCGCCGGAAUUCAUCACUGCUCACCGGAAAAGGCCGCUAGGCGACGCAAUAGAUCGCCGCCAGUUCGAAUUGGACGAGCUCGACAUAGCCGUGGCCUCCCAUGACCUCAGCCUGACCGCCGGAAUCCUCCCGGCGUGGCAGGCAAAGGGGCACGACUCGGCUGGCAAUAGAGCACGGCGCGGAAGGCCGAGGCGGCGGGGCAUGGCCGGCAAGGCUGGGCGCGGACGAUGGAGGCGACGGGGCGUGGCCGGCGAGGCUGGGCGCGGCCGGUGCGGUGAUGGGAAGCAGCCGACAGGGCCGGGACGCGGCCGACGGGCGACGGGGCUCGGCCAACGAGCGACGCGGCAUGGCCUGCGGGCGAUGGGGUGCGACCGACGGGGUUGGACACGGCCGGCGUGGCCGGCUGGGGAAGGGGCAGCAGCGGACGGACUGGAGGAAGGAGCUCUUUAUUUCAGUUUACAGUUUGUUUUACAGUAUGUUCGGCCGCAGCUAAAAUAAACCCUUAAAAUGCACUUUUUCCAACUCGUAUCCCAAUUUUAUAAUUUGUGAUUUAAGGGGUUUGCUAGAGAUGCUCUAAGAGGUGGAAUGCAAACGCUGGAGUAGCCGAGGUGGGACUAAAACAGAUGAAACUCUGGCCAUUCUGCUCUGUUCCUGAGGGGCGCUGACUGAGGACUGAAGGCCAUGGGUAGUGGGCAGCUGCUGUUGGGCUCGGCCGCAUGGAGGAAUGGUAAGCACUGCGGUGAUUUUGUUCACCUCACUGAUGUGGCCGGGCUGGGGGAGUUCGUUGUUUCUUUUCGUUUUUGGAGCUGUUUCUAAUAAUUGAUGGAAAGUGAAAAAUGCCUUUUCUGCUUGGUGUGUUAGGCAGCUUGGAAUAUGGUGUGUUUUCAGCAAGGGGCAAGACAGAAGAAAGCGCUAACUUAAAUGUACUCCCUCCGUUCCUAAAUAUAUGCUAUAUGACGUCUUGGUAGUUCAAAUUAAACUACCAAAACGUCGUAUGUUUAGGAAUAGAGGGAGUAGAUAUUUUCUAGGGGUUAUAAAUAAUGUAGAUGUUUGAUGAUCAAUAUGUUCUAUGAAAAAGAGAACGUGAUGAAGUGUCAAAGCACAAAAUGGUACUACUUUUUAUCAAUUUGCUCCUUUAGUUUGACUUUGAUGGGCUUGAUUAACUUGGGUCAACAAGGUUAGCAUAGGAAAUAAGUUCAGUUUACGGAAAAGGCCUUGGCAAUCUAGUCGCUCCCGCGCGCGAUUCCAAGAGGAUAUCAAACUUUAACCACCGUCACACCCAAUUUGAGGCAGCUUCUCACUAUGCAAGCGGUGCUUCUCUUUCUCCAAUUUUUAGUUGCUUGCAGCGUGGGUUGUGAUGUAAGCCGUGUACCAGGCUCCCCUUUAUCUUUCAGUCGUUGUUGUUUUCUUUUCUUUGUGUGUGGUGUUGGAAGAUGUAAUGAUGGUUGUAAUUCCUCGCCAGUUGAUGGCUUUGUUAAUUCAAAGCUGGGCUCCUGUCGAACCUUCGUUCUAAAAAAAACAUAUGUCGUCCAUCUGUAGCCGAACUAGAACCAACGGCGGAUGGUCUACAGGAUUCUUCCAAGACAAGAUCAUAAGCUGAUUUUACUGUGAAGACUCCCAGCUUCCGAGGACCCCAAGCAAUAACAUCUUCCCCGAUCCAUGGCGAUGCUCUAAUUUUCCGAAUUUUCUGAAACAUAACUGUGAGAAGAUACAUUGAUUUGUACUUUGCAAGAAAAGUACAAGAAUAAGAGCUAGAAAAUGAUCUCAGUUUGUUUUGUUGACUUGCCACAAAACUAGAAAACUUUUCACGUAACUUUAAUUGUGUAGUACAUAAUAGUCCUGUCAUCUAUAGGUGCGAUUUUCUCUUUGUUUCGGUAGUUACUGUUCUAUUUGAAUGAAUCAAGAGCAUAAUUGGUUUGAUGCCAACAUUUGGCAUUGCCAAUACUUGGUAAGCCAACAAUUGGCAAUGUCAAAAGUUGCCAACAAAUGAUAACAUUUUGUGAGGUUGGCAAGUAAAUAUGGUAGCCAGUCAAGCACUAGCCAAAAUUUGACAUUUGCCAGAUGUUGGCACGCCAAUUUUUGGCAUCAAACCAAUUAUACUCCAAUACUGUUUGAAAGAACUAAAGUCAGUACAGUAUUUUUAGUCCGUAGCACAGGCUCGGAAUCCCGAGCUCUGCGUCGCUGAUAAACGUGGACGAAUGCAUGCCACAGAAUGGCUGGUAGCCUGGUACGACAAGUUUCAGUCUGGUAUAUUUUUCCUUGAAAGACAAAUCUGUGGUGGUUGGCAGUUGGCAGUUCUUAAACGGACACUAAAUGAAUGCCUAACUUACUCUGUAGACUGAUUUCAAGCGUGCAAAUGAUUUUUUUCUUUUGGAAUCUCGAUCUCCCUAUAUAAUAUAUGGAGGCCAUACCGAACGAGUUCAGGAAGCAUAACACUUCGAGGAGUUGAAGUUCUAGUUCAGGUAUGCUCGAUGAGUCAACUCUUGUAUUGUUUCUAUGAUUCUGAGUUCUUUGAAGUUAGUUAGCGGCAUUUUCUUGCGAGUCAAUUACACCACAGGUGUCUGAAGUUGGCGAGAAAAGUCAGUUUGAUGCUAAAACUUGCGGCGUACAUUGAACCGGUGACAAAACUUGGCUUCGAUGUGCAUCUACGGUGCAAAUCACGUUUAUAUACGCACAGAGUGCUGACGAGGCACGCCAAUGUGGCGUGGGACCCAGUUUCAGUGACAGGUAGUUAGAGACAAGGGCGUGUGGUUUGAUUUUUGUGGAAAACACCCUGGAUUUUUAUCAUCAUGGAAAAGCCACUUGUUUUUUCUUAGACAAAUCCCUAAAAUGUAGCUACGUCUCUGUGACAGUUGGGGCCUACCCUGCAGAAAACAGUACAAAGAGGAAACCAAUAUGGCAAAAGUGACAGCGGGCACUCGAACCUGCGACCUCAACUUAAAAUGGGGUCCGUGCUAGCCACGCCUCCAAGUCUGCCUUCAUACCUCCUGGGAUAGACAUACUUAAUUAGCAAUAUGUGAGCACGAAAAUGGGGCUUAAAUGGGCAGCAGCAGCCGCGGACCAUUUUUCACAUGAUAUUUUGUUAGUUCAUAAAUACUAACAAUAUUCACAUUUAUUAUUUUAAAUUUUUUAUUUUUCUUUAAAUUAUGUAAACGUUAUUAUAAAUAAUAAUAUGUCUGGUAAAGAUAAUACACGAAUAUUUUCGAUGAACGCACUAAUAUAGCCUAUAAAUAAAUGAAUAUAUUUUGAAAUAAUAUUUUUAUAAUUUAUAAAUAUUGUUUCAAUUCUAUGUUUGUUUUAAAUAAUAUGUGAAUAUUUUUGGGAUAAAAUGAACAUUCUUUUAAAUAAGAACAGUUUUUAUAGUUACAAACAUUUUUUUAAACCAGGCAUAACCCGUUUCCAUUACUGUGACAUAACGUAAAUACAUCAGUCCAGAAAAAGAGACAGGAGAGGGGAGAGCGGGUUGGAGCAUCGUCGGGAAACCCACUGUGAGCACUCGCCAUCGAGAUUACCCACUGCAGGAUGAAAACCUGGCGACACCAUAUAUCAGUUUAACUGGGCACAACAGCCCCCUACAUCCACCAUAAACGAGAUGGGCUGCGGUGAACAUUUGUAUGAAUAUUAUUAUUAAUUUAGAUAUUUUUACAGAAUUCUAGGAAAGGAAGAAAAACUAACAUCUGCAAAUGGGCCGUGGUGACUGCUGCACACUUAAGCCUUAUGUGGGCGUUCGUUUAUAUUCAGUCCAUUAAGGAUACAAAUUUGUCUCAAAAAAUUAAGGAUACAAAUUGUACUUUGACCGAAAGUGAUACUUGGUGUGGCGGUCAGCCUGUCCAGCCAGAUGGGAACAUGUCGUGUGUUCGAUACUGUGCGCAGCAUUAUUUUGCGUCCCAAUUUUUGCCCUGACUGGUGGGGCCCAAGUGCCAUAGUGACGUUUCAUUCGUUUUUUCAAGAAAAAAAAAUUGAGUGUCAUUUUGUGAGUAAAAAAAAUUCCAGGGUGGGUUUCACAAAAAACAGAGGCACACGCCCUUGCAUGUGCUUUCCGGUCAUUGACACUGGGUCCCACGCCAUGUUGGCGUGCCUCGUCAUCACUCUACGCGUAUACAAACACGAUUAGCACCGUCGAUGAACGUUCAAGCCAAGUUCUGUCACCGGUUCAAUGUACGCCACAAGUUUUAGCACCAAACUGACUUUCCUCGCCAAGUUCAGACACCCAUGGUGUAAUUGACUCUUUUCUUGCAAAAAAGUUAGCUGCAUUAGACAUCUCAAUUUAAAAUUAGUGUGGCAUUUGUAGUAUAACUGCAUCUUGCCAAGUCGACACUAAAUUAUUGCUUAGAUUAGCAGAAAUCAGUUUUUCUGUUCACAUUGGUUUUGCUCCACUGCGGGUGACCGUGUGCACGCAAAUUUAUUAUUCAUAUUUUCAAGCAUUUUCCUCUUACUUGUUGUAUUCUCGCUAGGCUCACAUCUACCGCUCACCCUUCCCACACCCUGGGUGAUUCCUCGCCCACCCACCACCACCCUGUGUAUGUUGUGCAAUUUGUUUUGUAACUUUUAUUAGUAUAUAACGUGCCCUGAAAUUACUCGAAAUCGCUAACCGAAACAAGACAUAUUCACUUUGACCAUAGCCACCCGCACUUGCCUACCCAACAUGCUAUUUUAGCUAUUCUCUCUUCAACCUCCUCUAAGAGCAUCUCCAGCCGUUGGCCUCCAGGGGCGCCUAAAAUCGCCGCCUGGGGGCGAGCCGACGCAAAAAAGGGCCUGGGGGCGAGUUGGUCCCCAGUCGUCGGUCCCAGGGCCGUCCCCAUAUGCGCAUAAUUUUUUUUUAAAAGUUCGGCGAAAUUUGGUUAAACACGACUAAACUUCGGCAAGCUUUGGCAUAUAUUGACAUGUUCGGCGGCACAUAGCAAAUAUAACUAAAAAAGAAAUCGCUGAACGCCGAGUAGUCGUCGUCGUCGCCGCCAUCCACGCCGCCGUCGUCGUCGGCGGCCUUCUCCUCCUUGACGGGGCCGUCCCUGGUGGACCCCUGACCGGCGUCGCCAACGCGGACUGGUGGCGACGGCGUGUCGUCGUCGUCGCUGUCCUCGAUAACGACGACUCCUCCUUCGUCGCGGCCCCGGCGCUGCUCGAACCGCCGCAGGGCGGCGCACUGGCACUCCAUCGCCAUCUUGAGGGAGUCCUUGCGCGCCCAUUCCAGGGCCGCGUCAUCGUUGACCUCCGCGUCGCCGUGCUCCGUCUUCACGGCGGGGAGACCCGGCUCCGUCUUCAUCGGCGCGAGCCCCGGCUCCGUCUUUGGCUUGACGAAGCGCGGAGGAGCCGAUGAGGAGGCGCGCUGGCCGCCCUCGUUGAUGACGAUGCCGGCGAUGUGGGUGCGCCGGCCGAGGGGCGUCUCCACCGCGGACUCGGCCUUGAUGCCGAGCAGCGCCGGAGAGCCAGAGGAGUGGGAAGAAGAGUGCGAGGAGGAAGAAGACGAGGAGCCGAACCUCCUGGGCAUCCAUUGCCUGACGUGUCGGCGGUGGGCCGGGGCGGCCGCCCUCGCCGGGGGAGGGUACGCCAGCGGCGGAUUGUUGCCGCCCUCAAGGUGCAUUAGCACGCCCUCGAGCGUGCGGCUGGGGACGCCCCACCACAGGUGGCGCCCCUCGCUGUUCUUCGUGCUGCCCACCACCGACACCCCGUUGGUGGACACCAGCCUCUGCUGUUGACGGCGCUCGAAGUACGCCACCCACGCCGCGUGGUUGUCGGCGGCGUACUGGGGGAGGGCGCGCUGUUCGUCGGUGAGGGAGGCAUGCACGAUCUCCACCUCGACGGCGAAGUAGGAGGGGCGAGCCACGGCGUCGGGCAACGGGGAAUGGGAACUCUCCCGUUGCUGAGCCGCCACCCCGUCGGCCCGGCGCGCAUGUCCGGCGGCGUCGAGAUGUUGGCCUCGAAAAGGAGCUACAGCUCCUGUUCGCGAAGCGAGCGGCAGCCGAAGCCAUUGGCCGCCGCCUCGUCGCCGGGGAAACGCUCGGCCAUCGGGCUGUCGGUGGGGGAGGGAUCGGAGGCGGCGCACAGGGGAGGAAGAGGGAGGGCUCGACAGCGACACAUGGGAGAGGGAAAGCUCAGCGGCUAGGGCUUGGUGUGGCCGGGGGUGAGGGAGGCCACCGGCUUAUAUAGACGCGCCCGUGUGUACGCGUGCGCAGGAGGGGAGGCGUCGGCGCGCCGCCCAGUGACGCGCCGCCCGUGAGGAAUCAAUGGCAAGGCUGACCAGCGGCGGCAGCGCGGCAACCUUGGCAUUGAUUCCCGUAGGAACCGAGGCGAUGAGGGCGACGAAGCACCCGUCUCGCUGACUCGGCGGGCCCGUGGUCCUUCCGCGCCAAAAACGAUUCGCCCGGCGCGUCGGGUUCGGGUUGGGUCAGCCGGCACUGAUUUCGGCCCAAGCCGGUAAAAAUCGGGUUCCUGGAGACGCGACUGGGCCGUGUUUUCAGCGCCGACGCGAAUAAAUCGCUUGGGGAGGCCUUUCUGGGGCUGGAGAUGCUCUAACCCAGAAUAAUUGUACCGCCCCCUUUAGAGAUAGACUUUCUUAUUCUCUAAGCUAGGUAAACUCCCGAAACAUAAUAAGCUAAGUCUCCGCCGAUUUAGGCAAAGCAGACCUGGAGAAAAUAAUGGGAGUCAGUGUCCUUUAAAUGCCUUGUUUCCUCUUCUUUACGAUGGCUUCUUCUUAAAUGAAAAAAGAUCUCUGCUGCACUUAUGCCUUCAAACCUGAAAAUAGUGGUUAUUACGACACCAGGUGAAAUAGCUAUUUUUUCUUUUCUUCCUCCCCUCGACCUAUUGAAGUUGCGCUCACCCACAACCUAAGCCCUACAGUCCCUUCGCUUACCGCCUAAUCUUAAUCUAUUGCCCUGCCUCCAAGAGAAGAAAUGGCAUCAACUGAUACGAUGGCAGCUAGUUCCAGGGAAGCUGCUUCAAUGGAAGUUGGAUCGCCUAGUUGCUUUUGAGUUUGAUUUGAACUAGUUUCCAAGCUUUUUAUCAUAGAUGCCUACCAGUAUACUUAUAUUUUUCAAUCUGAGUGUUCCAUCGGACUUACUCCAUUUGCUUCUAGGGUCCAUUGCUUAUAGGUAUAGAUAGAGCUGGAGUCCCCAGUGCUAGAAUGAAAUGUGAGCAUAGAUUGAUUAUCUCACUGCAUAUACAUAUAGUAACCGGUUAAUAAUACAAAGGGUCCCUAAUACUAAUCUCGACAUGAGCGGAGUCCAUGCUUUGUGUCACGUCAUUCACAACUUAGUGAAAUCAUUAAUUAAGGAUCACUUUUUAUGAAGGUCACUCCCACCUCCCCAAGUUACGACCAAUGGCACACUGCAUGUGUGUCACUUGUCGCAACAUGAGAGGCAAAGUCGUGCCUCUCACAGAAGCAAAUCCGUGCCUCCCGCGCAAGGAUAAGAGAAAAAGAAAACACAUUUUUUUUCGUUUCUGAGAGGCACGGCUGUGCCUCUCGUGGAAGCAAAUCCAUGCCUCUCGCGAAAAAAAAACAUGUUUUUAUUUCGUUUUUGAGAGGCACGACUGUGCCUCUCGCGGAAGCAAAUCCGUGCCCUCGCUAAGGGAAAAAAGAAAGCACAUUUUUUUCGUUUCCAAGAGGCACGACUGUUCCUCUCACGGAGGCAAAAAAACAUGUUUUUUCACACAUACAAUUUCUUUUGUCCAAAACCUAAGAAAGACCGGGGAAGACCGAAAAGCCAAAAAAGUGGGGAAAAACCAUCUAAAAAGCCGAAAACUCAUGUGAAAAAAAACUUGGAGGGAGCACCCAGAGCGCGACAUGUGCGGCGGCUGAAAGUGCGUCAAGUGGCACACUCUCAUCCCACCCCAAAUGACCCUUGCGGGGGCUCCCCAAAAAGUACUCCUUCAUUAAUUGCUCCCACAACUUAGCUGCCACGGCUGCACGCCAUGGGCUCAGCCGACGUUUCCCUAGGGCCGAACACCAACAUCGUUUGUCACCGGGUUGGGUGCCACACCUCUUGGGCUAGCUACGACCAUUGUACACCAUGGGGAUGGCCAACAACACAUCCCUAGGAAGACAACUAAUGGCUUGUAAGUGCAUAUUUUAGUUGUUACUGCUUUCUGAAGUAAGGGUAUCAAUCCACGAAGAGACGAAGAAAUGGUCAUUUGCCCUUUGUAGAAGUUCAUGGUAAUGUGCCCGUAAGUUAUUAGUUGAUUCCAAAUGAAGGCGUAAUGGUGAUGGAAUUAAUGGAGAGUGAUUAAAAGUAAGUAACUCAACCGUGCAGUGGAUAAAGUAAAGAACAUAGGAGAACUUAGUAAGCUAUAAAAUUGAGGCAAUAUGUUAAAUUUAGUGCAUUAUCAUUUUUUACUUGUGGGUAUAUUUUGGUCUAAGCACAUUUCAUUUUACCGAGGUUCGUCUUUUAUGGAAAUUAAUAUGCCAUAUGCAUAAAAUUACUAUCAAUACAAUAUGCAUAGUAGAUAUGACACUUGAGAAACUAGCGAUUGUCUGAAGUAUUGCCAUAUUGGCAGUCAAAUAUUAAUUAGAUAGUUCGCCUUGGUCACUUGUAUUCAUGUCCUGGGAGAAACAAAUUGGUUUCCUACUUAUGGUCAACCUUAGAGAAACUCGAGCAGAGUUACCAUACGCUCUGGAGCUCCAUAAUAGUGGCCAGUAUGGAGGUUAGCAGAGUCGCCAUAUGGGUUGCUAUUGCCAUGCAUUAUGGAGUGUCCUCCAUAUCUAGUCUCCCAGCCUUCGUAUUUGUUGUCCUGAGGCCAACUUUUGGAGUGCACUACAUCCAACAAAACUGUUUAGCGCGUAGGAAACUUCAUAUCGCCCCCUCCUCACAUGGAGCUGGAAGGGGGAUUGGGGGGAAAGGAUGUCCCAUUGAUGAGUGGGCCCGUGCUAUUUGUGAGCUGCGUUGGGAUUUUCCCGAAGAGGGGAUGAUGCAGUACAGUAGAGAUAAGUAUUUUCCUCAGUUAUGAAAUCAAGGUUAUCAAUCCAGUAGGAGAACCAAGCAACACUAUGUAAACAACACCUGCACACAAACAACAAAUACUUGCAACCCAACAUGUAGAGGGGUUGUCAAUCCCUCAACAGUUACGAGCAAGAUUAAAUUGUAUAGUUUUUGAUAGAUAUAUCUGACAAAAAUACAAAAUAAAAAAAAAUUUGCAGCAAGGUAUUUUUAGGAUUUUUAUAUGAUAAAAGAUAGACCCGGGGGCCAUAGUUUCACUAAAGACUUCUCUCAAGAAAAUAGCAUAUGGUGGGUAGACAAAUUACCGUUGAGCAAUUGAUAGAAAAACAAAUAAUUAUGACGAUAUCCAAGAUAGUGAUCAUACAUAUGCAUCACGUCCAAGAUUAGUAGACUGAAACGAUUUUGUAUCUACUACUAUUACUCCAUACAUCGACCACUAUCCAGCAUGCAUCUAGUGUAUUAAGUUCAUGAAAAAACGGAGUAAUGGAUUAAGCAAGAUGACAUGAUGUAGACAAAAUACACUCAUGUAUGAAUAAACCCCAUCUUUUUACCCUUAAUAGCAACGAUACAUACGUGUCAUGUCCCUUUAUGUCGCUGGUAUUGAGCACCGCAAUAUCGAACCCAUUACAAAGCACAUCUUCCCAUGGCAAGAUAAAUCAAUCUAGUUGGCCAAACCAAGCCAAUAAAUCGGAGAAGAAACACGAAGCUAUAUUAAUCAUGCAUAAAAGAGUUCAGAGAAAACUCAAAUAAUAUUCAUGGAUGGAUCUGAUCAUAAACUCACAAUUCAUCGAAUCUCAACAAACACACCACAAAAAGUCAUUACAUCAAAUAGAUCUCCAAAAACAACAAGGAGAGCAUUGUAUUGAGAAACAUCGAGAGAGAAGAAGCCAUCUAGCUACUAACUAUGGACCCAUAGCUCUGUGGUAAACUACUCACACAUCACCGGAGGGGCAGCAAGGUUGAUGAAGAACCCCUUUGUGAUCGAUCCCCCCCUCCGGCAGAGUGCCAAAAAAGGUUCCCAGAUGGGAUCUCUCGAGAGCAGAAGCUUGCGACAGCGGAAAAAGUAUUUCUUGGACUCCCCUGUUGGUUUCUUGAUUUAUGGGUAUUUAUAGAGGCGGAGUUAGGUCAAAGGGAACUCUGUGGGCCCCACAACCCAUCAGGGCGCGCCCUGGUUGGUCGUGGGCCCAUGCUCCCUCGUUUGUUCUUCUCCCGAAGCUUCUAGUGUCCCUUAUGUCCAAAAAAUCUCCAAAAUGUUUUGUGGCAUUUGGACUUCGUUUGGUACUGAUAUUCUGCGAAACCAAAAACAAGCAAAAAACAACAACUGGCACUGGGCACUAAGUUAAUAGGUUAGUCCCAAAAAAUAAUACAAAGUUGCUUGUAAAUGUAUAUAAAACACCCAAGAUUGAUACUUUAAUAGCAUGGAACAAUAAAAAAUUAUAGAUAUGUCGGGGACGUAUCAGUCCCAAAUUUUGCAGGCGGAGACAUGGCGAUCCUGAGUUUGCGCGUCGCCUAGCUAGCCUCCGUAUGCAUUUUGGUGACCACAUAUAUCGCAGCUCUGCUAGAGUUGCUCUUAUACUUUUCCUUCAAAACAUAUUUUUUUGAUUAAAGACACACCCAUGAAGUUUAUCGAGUAGUAACAAAACAUUUAGCUUUGUACUCAUGAUUUUCAUGUUCUUGCAGUACCGACAGAAACUAUGGACGAUAGCAACAUGGACUUGACAAUUGACGCCAUGUGGUUGUUCCUAGCUAUUUUUCUCAUCACUGCAAUAAUCAUUAAGGUUGCAAAUGCAAGAGUUACCUCCGAUCCAGGGUGUACACGAUCACCUCCACCUAUGCUCAAUAUAAUUGCUCUCCUAAAACUCUUACCUACCUUGUGUACAAAGGGCCCCGAAGUUACAAUGACCUAUCUAUAUAACAAGUUUGGUAGUGUGUUCACAAUAAGUUUUCUUUGGAAAAGAAUAAGCUUCUUGGUUGGGCCAGAGGUCUCUGGUCUUUUCUUUCAAGGUUCGGAGUCCGAGGUUUCCCAAGGUAAUACGUUUGAGUUCACUGUGCCCAUGUUUGGCCUGGAGAACGGAUUUGCCGUAGAUUACAGCACCCGAAUCCAGGAGAUUCACUUCUUCAUUGACGCUCUAAGGCCAUCGCAGCUGAGGAGCCAUGUUGACCCCAUGCUUCGUGAAGUGGAGGUAAGGAUAUAUUAGACAUCGUGCCUCCUCACAUUAUUGGAUUUCUGAACAUAAGUUGAAAUUAAUCCAUGCAGUACUAUCAAAUAACCAACCUUAGUAGUUAUAGCCAUUUCUAAAUAGAUGACUUGUUUUGCUUUGAAAUUUUGAAUGGGAGCAACUUUGACUCUGAUUUCGUUUUUGUUGCAGUCUGUUCUGUCCAAUGUCCUGUAGUUUGUUUAAUAUAACCAACAAAGUCAGUUUGUAUGCUAAAAAAAUAAUAAUUAAGGAACCUAAUUUGCUACUUCAUGUGAUUCUAUCCAUUUCUAAAUAGAUGAUGCUUCUCACUUUGCUAAGUCUCAAGAGAGCAACUUUGAGCCCAUAUGUUAUUGUGAAUAUGUAAGCAGAACUUGUAAGAAUAGGUAUGUGGUGUGACUUUUUAUGACAAAUUCGUCUACAGUCCAAUCCAAAAAUUCUAAUACUUUUUGCAAGUUUAAAAAACUGUUUGUUAGUAAAAAAACAAUGAACUUUGAUCGCUUUUUUUCUAGUAAACAAUCAAUGUAUUCUGGAAAAAGUGUUUAUAUUUCUUAUAGGUCUACAACUAUCAUGAAAUCUACACAAUUUAGAGCACUACAUACGUUCCAUAGAUAAAUCCAGUUGAUACUUCAUAUUGAGUAAAUAAAAUUUACUAUUUGUCGAAAAAGUGCUAUAGAUAAAACUAGUUUAGUCUCCAUGUUCAUCAAAUUUGGUUUAUAGAAGGGUACAAUACAUAAAUAAACAAACAGAUACAGUACUUUUUUUUCCACUUUGUCCUUAUAUGUCGGUGUACUUUACACAGAAAUUUGGAUGCUAUCGCAAAAUGAUAUGAAAAUAAAACAAUAAAAAUUAUCAGAAAAAUCAUUUCUUGUAACAAAACAACUAUCAAAACAAAGGUGAUACAGUAUUAAUAAUUAGAUACAUUGUUCCUUCCUUAGAUGUAUUUACUUAUUUCCCCUGAUAUUUGGUAGGGGCAGGGUUUAGAAUUUUGGUACCACAUAUUUUUAUAAAAUCCAGAUUUUACUUCAUAAUUAUUUCAUCUAAAGUUACUUUAAUUUACUAAAAAUUUGAAUUAGGUUUGAAUAUAGUAUAAAUUUAUGUGGCAACAAGUAUUUUGGUACCCAUGAAAUUACCAAAAUUUUGGAAACAUUGUUGAAACUUUGAAACAUGGAUACAGACAUGUUCCCAUAUGAAAUUAUUGUACUUGAAAGAAUAAUAUUAAUUUGACAAAAAUUGGUUUCCUUCGUAGUAGUGUUACAUGUAGUUCAUUAGCAUGAACACGAUUGCACAAUACGCUCAUUAUUCAAGCCUUCCCUAGAACGUUAUGGUAUUUCACGAUAUUAUAUGUGUAGACAAACUCGUGGUGCAUGCUAAUUUGCUAUAUAUGUUAAUUCAACUAGCCGGCGUUGUCAUAAUGUAUGGUAUAUAUUUUCCACAGGACUACUUUGCGAAAUGGGGAGAAGAGGGGGUAGUCGAUCUGAAAGAUGAGCUCAACCAGAUACUCAUGUUGAUCGCAAGUCAAUGCUUACUUGGAAAUGAGGUUAGAGAAAAGCUAUUUGGUGAGAUUUACACAUUGUUUAGUGGAAUCGAAGGGGGGGUGAACUUGGUGAGUUUCAUGCUCCCAUAUUUCCCUGUUCCGGCAAACCACCGACGAGACAAAGCACGAAUCAGACUUACAGAGAUUGUUUAUGAUAUUAUGAGGUCAAGAAAGACAUGCGGCCGUGUCGAGCAAGAUGUCCUCCAGAAAUUGAUGGACUCUAGGUAUAAAGACGGUCAUCGUACAACAGAAGCGGCGGUCGCCGGGAUGAUCAUCGCAUUGAUAUUUGCUGGAAAACACACAAGCUCAAUUGUAUCCACCUGGACAGGAGCUUGCCUAUUGACCCAUACAAAGUUUUUAGAUGUUGUUGUGGAAGAGCAAAGGGAAAUAAUGAGAAAAUAUAAGGACAAGAUAGACUAUAAUGUCUUGUCAAAGAUGGAGACAUUGCAUAGUUCUAUCAAAGAGGCAGGACGCAUGCAUCCAGCGACACUAGGUUUGAUUCGCCAAACACAAAAGAAUAUCACUGUGAGGACAAAAGAAGGAACUGAAUAUGGCAUCCCGAAAGGUGACACCUUAGUAAAUCUUGUAAUGCUAACCAGUAAGUUAUCACACAUUUACAAGGACCCUGAAGUGUAUGACCCAUACCGUUUUCGUCCUGGAAGAGAGGAGGAUAAAGUUGGUGGUAAAUUCUCAUACGCAAUAUUUGGCGGUGGAAGCCAUGUUUGUCCCGGGGAGGCCUAUGCUUUCUUGCAAAUUAAAAUUAUAUGGAGCCAUUUGCUGAGAAAUUUUGAACUCAAACUCACUUCUCCUUUUCCCAAGACAGAUUGGAGCAAGUUCAUGUUAGAGCCUAAAGGGAAAGUGCUGGUAAACUAUAAGAGACGUCAUCUGGAAAGCAACUGAGAUAUGCAUGCCAUAUGUCCAUCAACAUGUAUUUGCAUGGACGUACCUUUGCAUAUGUGUGGUAAUACAUGUUUGGUAGUUGUCUGUGGUUUCUAGGGCAUCAUAAGGUCACGUUAUUUGUAACUUGAGUAUUUAAUUACUUCUACUUCAUUAUCCAAACAUUUGACUUGUCGGCCCUGCUAUGUAAGAGACUAUAAUAAUAAGUGGCAUAUAUAUCUUUAUGUUUAGCUACACGCUGCACCCAGUUUAUUAUUCUAUUUAUGCAUGAUUUGAUGUGAUGCAAUGACACAAUUAGUGUAUCUAUUACAUACUAAAAGCACAAUAUGGGUCAAAAAUAAGAAAACAGGCUAGAAAUUCCCACAAAAUUUAGAAACAUCUAGCCUAAUAAGACAAAAAAUCACAACCUAUAUCCUAGAUGUACUGUUGUUAUACUCAAAGUUAGAACAACUUACCCAUCGUUGCCACCAUUAAAAUCACCUCCGCUUUGACCUAACAAAAGGAAAAAAAGUCCCAGUCCUUACGCUCUCCGGGUACUGUUACUAUACUCAGUGUGCAACAUCGACGACGGUGGCAAGGAGAAAGACACCAAGAUGGCCGCACCAUCAAGCUUCCACUGAGGAGACGAUAUGUUUCAGUCAUUCAGCGUGCUCGCCUGCCGCGAUACUUCACAGGCACAAUCGUUUAGGCCGCGGUGUAGGCGUGAGUGCUCGUUGCUCGACGAUCACGAAAUCUUCCUGUUGUGUCAGAUUAUUACCAGUGUGUGUGUGCGCGGUGGUGUAGUGUUCAUUGGUAACAUCAUGCCAUCAAUUCUCUCUGUUUUUAUCGCCUUCGGUUCACAUUAGCUGCAGUAUACAGUUUGAUUUCUUGUUCGAACUGGUAUGUCAACCACUAAAUGAUAACCGGUCAUGGGUUGCGCGCUUCUCUUCUGUGCGCUUUCCUGUUCGUAUUUCAGGUAAUGGAAACAUGAUUAUGAAAUGCAGAUGGAUAGUUCUGCGGUCUUUGAAUUUUCAGGCAGUCUGGAGUAGGCAUAUCCUGAGCAUGCUCGCUCUUGGGAUUCCAUGGCAUGCCGGCAAAUGUUAUCAUGCUACAACACAGAUAAUCUUACCUCAGAAAGAAAAAAUAAAUACAAACGAUGUGUGAUGGUUUCCAUUUUUCAUAACCGCUCUUUCCCUAGCUAUUUUUUUCUUAUUAUUUUUAGCAAAAGAGAGUCCUCCCUCUUUGAUGCACAGCUCUCACUUCUCUCUUCUAUGGUUUCUUUCAAGAACACACAUCAUGAAGAAAACACAUACACACACACACGCACGCACGCACAUACACCAAGGGAGAAGGCCAGCUGCUGCUUUGCCUAGAGGCGCCCCUCGGUGAAAACUAGAGGCUACAUAUUUUCUCCUGUCCUCACGGCGUCCUCUUUUCUCAUUCCAUAUACAGAGUAUAAAUACAUCAGCUAACACGCCAAGGCAAAACACCCUGGUUCACUUCCUACGCCCACGUCCAGGACGUGGCCAACUACUCUACCAACUAGAUGACCCGUUGCGCCAAUGGCGCAAAGGCCAAGUGUGAGCUAAUUAUUGUGAGAGCGUGCAUUAACAUAUUGUUGUUUGAAAAGAAUAGCUCAUAUACUAUAUGCAGUAAGUACAUAAGAUUGGAAAUGAUGCACUAAGUCAUGUAGGAAAGGACUCUUGUGAUCUGUUUAGAUUCGAUAGACAAUUAUGCAGAGGCCUUUGGAUGUGCACUUGAAGGCGAAAGCAUAUAUUUCUUUUAUCAUGGUUCUUUCAAAAGCACACCACACAGUAGUUUAAGUAGCAAAUAACCGAUAGCUAAAUGCACAGGAUGGUCUUAGGGGUUUACAUAUAAGAUCCAAAAGGACGAUAAACAUAGAAGUCUUGAUAGGCAUCUAUACUAAUACUAAGUUAUAUAACAAGAGGAUCUUGCAACUUGCUUAUAUUGGGUAGAUGAUCAAGCGCACUCCCUUGGAAGUGCAUUUGAAGGUGAAAGCAUAUGCUUACCCUUUGUUCAUGCUAGAUGACCCGUUGCAACGAUGUCGCAAAGGCCGAGAGCAAACCAAGUACUGAUAGAGUGAGUGAUCAUUAGUAUGUAGAUACCUAUUGUAGCGUAUGAAAUGAGUAGCUACUGCUGGCAGAUAGUUGCCUGGUAAUAAUAGAAAGUGUUCUAAGAAGCUUAUGAAUGAUUAUCUACAAUGAUAGUCAUAAAUACAUUAUAUAGGCGGUACAAAGUGAAGAACAUUAGAUAGAUCCAUCGUGACGUGCUUCGCUGGUAUUGAGAAUGACCCUCUUGUUGGGGAACGUUGCAGAAAAUAAAAAAAAUUCUACGCUUUCACCAAGAUCAAUCUAUGAGUUUAUCUAGUACCGAGAGAGAGGAGUGCAUCUACAUACCCUUGUAGAUCGCGAGCGGAAGCGUUCAAGAGAACGGGGUUGAGGGAGUCGUACUCUUCGUGAUCCAAAUCACCGAUGAUCCUAGUGCUGAACGGACAUCACCACUAGUAGAAAACAGGGCAUUUGUCCCGGUUCGUAAGGGCCUUUAGUCCCGGUUCAUGAACCGGGACUAAUGGGUCGUUACUAAUACCUCCACCCAUUAGUCCCGGUUCAAACACGAACCGGGACCAAUGUGCCUCCACGUGGCCCUGUGCGCCGAUCCCAGGCAGGGGGGCUUUGGUCCCGGUUGGUGGCUCCAACCGGGACCAAAAGGCAUCCACGCAUCAGCAUUUCAGUGGCUGGGGUUUUUGUUUUUUUUUGAAAGAAGGGGGGGGGGGUUGGGGGGUUAAUUUAGGUGUUUCAUAUAUUGUGUUAGCUAGCUAAUUAAUAGAGAGAAGUGUCCUCUCUUAUGUCCGUGCUUGGUCGACGCUACGUACUAUAUAUACAUAUGUGAUCGAGAGAACCAUUGAGUACAGAAGUUCGUCAUGCAUACCGAGAGAAGUGAUCGACCGACCUCUCCUUCUCCGAGAGAUUGGCCGAACAACAAGUUUUCGUAUAUCAUGUAUCCGACGCUACUGGCCACAUACAUGUACAAUAUGUAUAAGAUCUCUUAAUUACAAACCCCUAACAAUUGAAAUCAAUUUGCACAUGGUAUUCUCCGGCUUUAUUGAUGACGUGGUCAAGAAAGAAUCCCACCAAUUCCUCUUGAAUUGCUUUCAUGCAAUCUGGUUCUACGAGUUCAUUCCUCAUCUGCCACGUCUAAUUUGAAGAAGGGGGUUAAUUAAUACAUAUAUAUGAAUGAAACUCAACAGAAAUGAUGGUGUAAUAAAAUGAAAUUGUGAAUAUUAUUGCUUACGCACUUCAUAUUGUCUUUGAGAGUAGCCCCGCUGGUUUUUCAAAGUCGCGGUGUGGAUGAACUCGCACACGUAGUAUCCACAGAAAUCAUUCCCUUCUUCCUCCCACAAGCACUUUACGAGAAAUGGAGGUCAAUCAAACUGAUAAUGAAGCAUUAUAAAUGGCAUUGAUGAAAGUAUAGCUAUAGAAUCAACGGGAGAUGCGCGCAACUAGCUAGUCAGUAGUACUUACUUUCGGGUAUGUAUAUUGCAGCUCCUUCGGCAGUCCCGGAGCUUCUGCGGUGAACUGUUUCCAAACCCUGCAAGACAAAGAAAUAAUUAUUAUUACUUGAGAUAUCAGGAAAUGAACAAAAAAUUGCCGAUAUGGUGCGAUAAUGAUCGAUUGAACUUACUUGCUGAGCAUUUCAGUCAUGUCUGCAUAGGUUUUGGGAUCUUUCCGUCUCGAGUCUAAGACGGUUACUAGUCCACGCUCAAGCUUAAUCUCCAGAAGAAUAUAGUGGUACCUGCGCACGCAUGCAUAACUCAUUAAUUACAUUACUAUAACCUCGCUCGAGUAAUAAAGGAAACCGAAUAUGCACACGACAGUAACACUCACUUGCCGUUGUAAGGAAAGAGUAUGGUAUCUUUGUUUUGAUUUUUGAUCAACGAUCGUAGCAAGUUGUCCUCGGCCUCUUUGACGUCCUUUUUAACCAGAAAUUCAUCUAUGAUAUUUGUGUUAAUGAACCCAAUAUCAUAAAUUUCUUGUUUUUUGCACUCGACGAUCUUCAAUCUGCAUAAUAUAUUGAGGAUAAUUAAUUAUAAAUACAUGAAAUGAAAGAGCCGAGCUAUAUAUAGAGACUUAAUGACAGAAAUAGUACUUACAGACAGUAGCAAAAGACCAUUAGUUUAUCGAGGGCCUUUCAAUUGAAGAACGCGAAGAACUCAUCAAAUGGAACAGUCAACAGAUCAUUUGCAACGAGGUCAUGCUCCUCUUUAAUAUUCAGAUACAAAGCAUUCGUACCCCCAGACUCUCUGCAGGUUUCCAUGUACCAAUUAUGGAAUCUUCGCAUCAUUGUUGUCAGAGAUUUUUCAUCUUUGACGAGAGGCUUCCCGUACUCGUAUCUGUGUUCGUCCACCUCCAAGAAAUCAGGAAGUUGAUCGCCAGGCAGGUAAUCUGCAAGAUUUCCAUAACCGGCCACCGUCCCCGGAGCAUUAGACACAUUGAGCGGGGGCACGAUUGCUGUGCUUGUUCGCCGAGCUGGGCAAUUUUUUUCCCCUUUGCUCGUUCUUUUAACCUUUUAGCACUGACAGUAGUUCCCGACCGCUGGGCUUGGAGAUAUGUCUGUUCAGUAAUGCGCUCACAGUUGGUUCUCGGCGGAGACUUUGGUGGUUUCCUCAGGGCAUCGAUAGUGCACUUUGCUUUCACCGGAUCUACCUUCUCCUCCGGAGGUGGAUGUCUCUUUGCUUUCACCCUUCAAAGAACUCCUUCACGUGGGUCCGCACAAUCCUAUCAUUUUCCUCCUCGGUCCUCUUGUACGGUAACUUCUCUAGAGGCUUGAGAGGUGGACUGUAUCUGUAUUGCCUCCCGCCUCUGGUUGUGCUGCUAGACGCCGGAGCAGAUGGAGCGGCUGCGGCGUCUGUCUUCUUUCGCGCUUGCUUACAAGGCGGAGGAGAAGGAGUACGACGCGCCGGAGCAGCCGGGGCGGCGGCGGGUCUCUUCCGCCCUUGCUGGCGAGGCGGAGAAGGAGGAGGCUGCUGGCUGCUCGGGAGCGCCGGCACAGGCGGAGAAGGAGGCGGAGUGCCGUCACACGCCGGAGAAGGAGGCGGAGUGCCGCCACGCGUGCCCUGAUUGUCACUCGCUGGAGGAGGAGGCGGUGGAGGAGGCGGAGUGCCCUGACUCGCCGGAGGAGGAGGAGGAGGAGGAGGCGGAGUGCCCUGACUCGCCGGAGGAGGAGGAGGAGGAGGCGGAGGCGUCCAGUUCGGAAGGUUGAUGAGCUCCUUCCGCCAUAGGCAUGGAGUCUUCAGAGCAGAACCCAACCUAGUCUCCCUUUCACCGGUAGGGUGGUCAAGCACGAGGUCCUCAAAUCCCUCCGUUAUUUCAUCCACCAUCACCUUAGCAUAUCCUUCUGAAAUCGGCCGGCAGUGAUAAGUUGCUCCGGAUCCAGUAGGAUAAACAGAGCCAACAGUCGCCUUGACCUUCAAAUUCAUCCAUCACGCCAUAAUGUGGCAAUGUUGAGACUCCAUGAUAGCAUCCACGGGAUAGCUGGCAGGAGCCGUCAAAACAUGCUCCGGCUGAAGCAGCUCGGUGGAAGCCACGCUGCUUCUCCGCUGAGAUGGCGGGGUAGCUUCGGGGGAAGCUUCGGCAGGUCGUUUGCUGCGAUCUGCUGCUUCUCGUUCCUCUUCUCGUUCCUCUAGCCCCAUUACCCUUUCGUGCAGCGCCUGCAGUUGGCCCUGCUCCAGUUUCUUCCUCCUCUCGUGGGUUUUGUAACCCCCUGCAUCUGGAAAACCAACCUUCCACGGAAUGGAGCCUGGCGUGCCUCGUGUCCGUCCAGGGUGCUCAGGAUUCCCGAGGGCCAUUGUGAGCUCGUCCUUCUCCCUGUCUGGUACGAACGUCCCUUUCUGCGCUGCAUUGAUAUACUUCUGAAGGUUCUUGACUGGUAUUUCCAGUUGCUCGUCCGUCCAACGACACAUCCCUGAUACAGGGUCCAAGAUUCCACCAGCCCCGAAGAACCAAGUCCGGCAACGGUAUGACCAUCUCAUUGUCUCUGGUUCGAUCCCUUUUUCAAGCAGAUCAUUCUCAGCCUUGAACCACUUAGGCCGGGCUUUGAGGUAGCCACCUGACCCCGUGCGAUGGUGAAGCUUCUUCUUCGCAGCAUUUUGCUUGUUCGUCACCGACAUCUUCUUACUCUUUUCCGAUGUCUUGUGGGCCACAAAUGCGGGCCAGUGAUCUUUGAUCUUCUCAUAUUUGCCGAUGAAUUCUGGUGUCUUUUUUUUCCUGACAAAAUGGUUCAACUCUUUCCUCCACCUCCUGAAUAGGGUUGCCAUCUUCUUAAGAGCACAAGACUUGAUUAAUUGCUCUUUAACUAGCUUCUCUGGAUCCUCCUCUGGCGGUAGGGUGAAAUUUUCCUUCAACUGAGUCCAAAGAUCUUCUUUCUGCAUAUCAUUGACAUAAGACACCUCAGGGUCGUCCUUAGGCUUAUACCAUCGCUGGAUGCUGAUCGGGAUCUUAUCCCUAACAAGAACCCCGCACUGAGCAGAAAAUGCGUUCUUUGUCUGGAUGGGUUCAAUUGGUUCGCCGUCGGGCGCGAUUUCUAUGAUCUCAAACCUUUCAUCCGAGCUCAACUUUUUCUUCGGGCCUCGUCUCCUUACCGAAGUUGUGCUCGAUCCGGAGGGCUAGAAAUUAAAAGGAAGAAAGACGAGAGUAAUUAAUAUGUGUACAUAUACCAAAACAAUGAAUGCAUCAAUUAACUAGUCAGCACGUGCUUAACUAAUAUAUAUAUACCUGGCCGGACUCGGUUCGGUCACCGGAGCAGUCAGCACGGUCUCCUUCUUGUACCUCCAUUGGGUCAUCACCGGAGCCAUCAUGAACAUAGCCCUCUUCUUGUACCGGCAUUAAUGGGCCGGAUCCAUCAUGAACAUAGCCCUCUUCUUCACCAAGUCCUUCCUCACCAACGACGUCGAUGAAAAAUGACGCAACAACAUCAGUUCCUUCUGCGAUCAUCUUCCCCAACAUCGCUUCUGUUGCUUCGUCUCGGUAGUGCUCCAUAGUUUCUGCAAAUAUUUACAACAUGUCAAUUAUUAUUCAAACAUGGUACAGAUGGAUAUAUAUUAGUGGCAAACGUAGAACUAGCUAGCUAAUCACAACAAGGAAUCAUGUUAGUGGCCUCGAUGUUGCUUCUCUAGGGUUUGGGAUCGCCUCGACACAACGCUUCAAGAGUUUGGGGUGGCCUCGAUGACAACGCUCUUUUAACUUGGUAAAUUUGGGUGGCCUCGAGAGUUUUGGUCGAGCGAGAGGGCCGAGGGGGGUGCUGCCGUUGUAUAGGUUAUCACGGUUGAGAGGGGGUAUAUAUAUCGACCGACCCUCAUGUCGAAGUUAUCUCGAGGGGGCGGCGAGGGCGAAGGCAAGCAGCCUGACGGCGACAGACCCGAUAAAACAUAAAAAAACGAAGAAGAGAUAAAAAGAGGCGAAGAAGAAAGGAAUAGAGGAGAAGAUCGAAGAAAAAAAAGAAGAAAAAAAAGAGGAGAAGAAGAAAGGAAUAGAGGAGAAGAAGAAAAAAUAGAAUAAAUUCUAUUUUUUCUUCUUCUCCUCUAUUAUUCUAUUUUUUCUUCUUCUCCUCUAUUCCUUUCUUCUUCUCCUCUUCCUUUUCUUCUUUUUUGUUCUUCUUAUUUAUUUCUCCUCUAUUCCUUUCUUUCUUCUUCUCCUCUUCUUUUUCUUCUUCUCCCUCGAGAAAGGAAAAUAAUUAAGGAAAAGGAAGAAAAGAGGAAGAAGGAAGAGAAGGAAGAAGAAGAAGAAAGGAAUAAAGGACAAGAAGAAAAAAUAGAAUUUUUUUCUAUUUUUUCUUCUUCUCCUCUUAUUUUUCUUCUUUUUUCUUCUUCUUAUUUAUUUCUCCUCUUCUUUUCCUCUCCUCUUCUUCUCUUUUCUUCCUCUUCUUAUUUUCUUUUUUCCUCUCAUUCUUUUUCUGCUUCUUCUUCCUUCUUCCUUCUUCCUCUUUUCUUCCUUUUCCUUAUUUUACUUUUUCCUCUACACUAACCUACUUAAAAUGCACUAACCUAAAAUCGAUAUCGACUAACAACCUAAAUAAAAAAUUAAUACAUAUAUGAAAAAACAUAUAUAAACAAAAAAUGCUAUGAACAUUAUAUUCAUACAUACAUAUAGCCACAUCCAUUCAUCAUAUAGCUACCACAUACAUAUAUACAUUAAUUAUAUAUAUAAAAAAAUGCAAUGAACAAAAAAAAUACACAUGUAUGUAUGAAAAAAAGCACUGAACACAUAGCCUCGACGGCGGCGGCUCACAACGGGGGCGGCCGGCGAGGGCGACGGCGGCGGCAGCGAGGGCGUCGGCGACGACCACGNNNNNNNNNNNNNNNNNNNNNNNNNNNNNNNNNNNNNNNNNNNNNNNNNNNNNNNNNNNNNNNNNNNNNNNNNNNNNNNNNNNNNNNNNNNNNNNNNNNNNNNNNNNNNNNNNNNNNNNNNNNNNNNNNNNNNNNNNNNNNNNNNNNNNNNNNNNNNNNNNNNNNNNNNNNNNNNNNNNNNNNNNNNNNNNNNNNNNNNNNNNNNNNNNNNNNNNNNNNNNNNNNNNNNNNNNNNNNNNNNNNNNNNNNNNNNNNNNNNNNNNNNNNNNNNNNNNNNNNNNNNNNNNNNNNNNNNNNNNNNNNNNNNNNNNNNNNNNNNNNNNNNNNNNNNNNNNNNNNNNNNNNNNNNNNNNNNNNNNNNNNNNNNNNNNNNNNNNNNNNNNNNNNNNNNNNNNNNNNNNNNNNNNNNNNNNNNNNNNNNNNNNNNNNNNNNNNNNNNNNNNNNNNNNNNNNNNNNNNNNNNNNNNNNNNNNNNNNNNNNNNNNNNNNNNNNNNNNNNAGGCCGGCGGGCGGCGUCGGGGCAGCGCCUGGCGGCGACGGGGGCGCGCGGACGGCGUCGAUCUGGGAAGCCUGGCGGCGUCGAUGAGCUCGGCAUCGUCGGGCGGGCCGGGGGCAACUAGCGAUGUGUUCGUCAAAUUUUCCUAAGUGCUGUAUAUAUAGCAAGGGCAUUGGUCCCGGUUCGUGAUUCCAACCGGGACUAAUGCCCCCUUUAGUCCCAGUUGGUACCACCAACCGGGACCAAAGGCCUCUUUUCAGCAGCCCAACGGGCGGGAAGCGGCGACCUUUGGUCCCGGUUGGAGGCACCAACCGGGACUAAAGGGUGGGCAUUGGUACCGGUUGGUGCCACGAACCGGUACCAAAGGACCCUGUGCUGCCAGCGUCGGGGCCAAAGUUUAGUCCCACCUCGCUAGUUGAGAGGGGUGCGCAGUGGUUUAUAAGCCCCACUGCCGCACCCCUCUCGAGCUCCUCUCCACCGUAGGCUUGCGGGCCUAUUUGCUACUGCUUUGCCUGAUGGGCCUGCUGGGCCUACUGCGGGCCUGAAUCCUGGCCCAUGGUAGGGUUUAUAGUCGUAUUCAGGCCGUGGGGGCCUAGUAGGAGGCAAUUUUUUUUGUUUUCUUUCUUGCUUUAUUUAUUUUAUUUUGUUUCUACUUACAACAAAAUACUUAUUGUUGCUAUUUUUAAUUAUUUUCUAGUUUUUUUGUUUGGUUUUCUGCAUUAUUUAUUUUCUUUUGUUUUUUGCUGUAUUUUUUAAUUCUUUUUGCUUUUAGUUUUAUAAAAAUUAUAAACUUUCUGUUAGUGCCAUUAGUUUUCAAAUUUGAAAACAUUUUUUGUUUUUUGUUUUCUUUCUUGCUUUAUUUUUUUUAUUUUUUUUUCUACUUACAACAAAAUACUUAUUGUUGCUAUUUUUAAUUAUUACGAGGGCCGAACCAUAAGACAUUAAAGCAUUUCAAAUGAACUAUGAAAACGUUGAAAGUUAGCAUGGUAUCAUAAAUUCACCCACAUAGCAUGUACAUGUACAAAACGGACAAUGGUAUCAUACUCGUGUGUUACAAAGUUGGCAUGGUAUCAUCAUAAUAGUUGUGGGAGAAAGUCUUCACUUUUUCUUCGCUUGUGUCAUUUGCUUAUUGCGCCGUAACCAUGGAUAAUCUUCAUCACUUAUCAGGAUGCUGGGGUCAGCCUUGACUUUGAAGGGAGGAAUUUCAUGAAACUUUUCAUAAUCUUCAGAUAUGUCUGUCUUGCCCUCCACUCCCACGAUGUCCCUUUUUCCUGAAAGAACUAUGUGGCGCUUUGGCUUAUCGUAUGAUGUAUUCGCUUCCUUAUCUUUUCUUUUUCUCGGUCUGGUAGACACGUCCUUCACAUAGAUAACCUGUGCCACAUCAUUGGCUAGGACGAACGGUUCGUCCGUGUACCCAAGAUUUUUCAGAUCCACUGUUGUCAUUCCGUACUAUGGGUCUACCUGUACCCCGCCUCCUGACAGAUUGACCCAUUUGCACUUAAACAAAGGGACCUUAAAAUCAUGUCCGUAGUUAAGUUCCCAUAUGUCCACUAUGUAACCAUAAUAUGUGUCCUUUCCCCUCUCGGUUGUUGCAUCAAAGAGGACACCACUGUUUUGGUUGGUGCUCUUUUGAUCUUGGUCAAUCGUGUAAAAUGUAUUCCCAUUUAUCUCGUAUCCUUUCCAAAUCGUAACAGUCGAAGAUGGUCCCCUGGACAACAAGUACAGCUCAUCACAAACAGUGUUGUCACCUCUGAGACGUGCUUCCAACCAACUGCUGAAAGUCCUGAUGUGUUCACAUGUAAUCCAGUCGUCGCACUGCUCCGGGUGUUUGGAGCGCAGACUGUUCUUGUGGUCAUCGACAUACGGGGUCACCAAGGUAGAGUUCUGUAGAACUGUGUAGCGUGCUUGAGACCAAGAAUAUCCGUCCCUGCAUAUUAUUGAGUCCCUUCCAAGCGUGCCUUUUCCAGUCAGUCUCCCCUCAUACCGCGAUUGAGGGAGACCUAUCUUCUUAAGGCCAGGAAUGAAGUCAACACAAAACCCGAUGACAUCCUCUGUUUGAUGGCCCAUGGAGAUGCUUCCUUCUGGCCUAGCGCGGUUACGGACAUAUUUCUUUAGGACUCCCAUGAACCUCUCAAAGGAGUACAUAUUGUGUAGAAAUACGGGGCCCAGAAUGACAAUCUCGUCAACUAGAUGAAUUAGGACGUGCAUCAUGAUAUUGAAGAAGGAUGGUGGGAACACCAGCUCGAAACUGACAAGACAUUGCACCACAUCACUCCUUAGCCUUGGUAUGAUUUCUGGAUCGAUCACCUUUUGAGAGAUUGCAUUGAGGAAUGCACAUAGCUUCACAAUGGCUAAUCGGACGUUUUCCGGUAGAAGCCCCCUCAAUGCAACCGGAAGCAGUUGCGUCAUAAUCACGUGGCAGUCAUGAGACUUUAGGUUCUGAAACUUUUUCUCUGACAUAUUUAUUAUUCCUUUUAUAUUCGACGAGAAGCCAGUCGGGACCUUCAUACUAAGCAGGCACUCAAAGAAGAUUUCCUUCUCUUCUUUGGUAAGAGCAUAGCUGGCAGGACCUUCAUAUUGCUUUGGAGGCAUGCCGUCUUUUUCGUGCGAACAUUGCAGGUCCUCCCGUGCCUCAGCUGUAUCUUUUGUCUUCCCAUACACGCCCAAGAAGCCUAGCAGGUUCAUGCAAAGGUUCUUCGUCACGUGCAUCACGUCGAUCGAAGAGCGUACCUCUAGGUCUUUCCAGUAGGGUAGGUCCCAAAAUAUAGAUUUCUUCUUCCACAUGGGUGCGUGUCCCCCAGCGUCACUCGGAACAGCUAGUCCGCCGGGACCCUUUCCAAAGAUUACGUGUAAAUCAUUGACCAUAGCAAGUACGUGAUCACCGGUACGCAUGGCGGGCUUCCUCCGGUGAUCUGCCUCACCUUUGAAAUGCUUGCCUUUCUUUCGACAUUGAUGGUUGGUCGGAAGAAAUCGACGAUGGCCUAGGUACACAUUCUUCCUGCAGCUUCCCAGGUAUAUACUAUCGGUGUCAAGUAAACAGUGCGUGCAUGCGUGGUAUCCCUUGUUUGUCUGUCCUGAAAGGUUCCUGAGAGUGGGCCAAUCGUUGAUGGUCACGAACAACAACGCCUUUAGGUGAAAUUCCUCCUGUUUGUGCUCAUCCCACGUACGUACACCAUUUCCAUUCCACAGCUGUAAAAGUUCUUCAACUAAUGGCCUUAGGUACACAUCAAUGUCGCUGCCGGGUUGCUUAGGGCCUUGGAUGAGAACUGGCAUCAUAAUGAACUUCCGCUUCAUGCACAUCCAAGGAGGAAGGUUAUACAUACAUAGAGUCACGGGCCAGGUGCUGUGAUUGCUGCUCUGCUCCCCGAAAGGAUUAAUGCCAUCCGCACUUAAAGCAAACCAUACGUUCCUUGGGUCACUUGCAAACUCAUCCCAGUACUUUCUCUCGAUUUUCCUCCACUGUGACCUGUCAGCGGGUGCUCUUAACUUCCCGUAUUUCUUACGGUCCUCACUGUGCCAUCGCAUCAAAUUGGUAUGCUCUCCGUUUCUGAACAGACGUUUCAACCGUGGUAUUAUAGGAGCAUACCACAUCACCUUCGCAGGAACCCUCUUCCUGGGGGGCUCGCCGUCAACAUCACCAGGGUCAUCUCGUCUGAUCUUAUACCGUAAUGCACCGCAUACCGGGCAUGCGUUCAGAUCCUUGUACGCACCGCGAUAGAGGAUGCAGUCAUUAGGGCAUGCAUGUAUCUUCUGCACCUCCAAUCCCAGAGGGCAUACGACCUUCUUUGCUGCGUAUGUACUGUCGGGCAAUUCGUUAUCCUUUGGAAGCUUCUUCUUCAAUAUUUUCAGUAGCUUCUCAAAUCCUUUGUCAGGCACAGCAUUCUCUGCCUUCCACUGCAGCAAUUCCAGUACGGUACCGAGCUUUGUGUUGCCAUCUUCGCAAUUGGGGUACAUCCCUUUUUUGUGGUCCUCUAACAUGCGAUCGAACUUUAGCUUCUCCUUUUGACUUUCGCAUUGCGUCCUUGCAUCGACAAUGACCCGGCGGAGAUCAUCAUCAUCGGGCACAUCGUCUGGUUCCUCUUGAUCUUCAGCAGCUUCGCCUAUUGCGGCAUCAUUGUGCACAUCGUCUGGUUCCUCUUGAUCUUCGGUAGCAUCACCGUAUUCAGGGGGCACAUAGUUGUCAUCGUACUUUUCUUCUUCGCCGUCUUCCAUCAUAACCCCUAUUUCUCCGUGCCUCAUCCAAACAUUAUAGUGUGGCAUGAAACCCUUGUAAAGCAGGUGGGUGUGAAGGAUUUUCCAGUCAGAGUAAGACUUCGUAUUCCCACAUAUAGGGCAUGGACAACACAUAAAACCAUUCUGCUUGUUUGCCUCAGCCACUUCAAGAAAUUCAUGCACGCCCUUAAUGUACUCGGAGGUGUGUCUUGAAUCGUACAUCCAUUGCCGGUUCAUCUGUGUGCAUUAUAUAUAAUUAAGUGUGUCAAGAAUCAUUACAGAACAUCAUGAAUAGAUAAUUAAGUGACCAAAUUAAUAGAAGUUCAUUAUCACAUUAAAACCAAAGUACAUACAUAGUUCUCAUCUAACAACAUAAAUCUCUGCAGAGCAUCUAAAUUAAUUAAACCAUACAUUGAAACUAUCUAAAACAUUUCAAUGCGAAAACAAAUGCGAUCAUAAUCGCAACCAAUGUAACAACUGAUCCAACGGCAUAAUGAUACCAAGCCUCGGUAUGAAUGGCAUAUUUUCUAAUCUUUCUAAUCUUCAAGCGCAUUGCAUCCAUCUUGAUCUUGUGAUCAUCCACGACAUCCGCAACAUGCAACUCCAAUAUCAUCUUCUCCUCCUCAAUUUUUCUAAUUUUUUCCUUCAAGAAAUUGUUUUCUUCUUCAACUAAAUUUAACCUCUUGACAAUAGGGUCGGUUGGAAUUUCCGGUUCAACAACCUCCUAGAUAAAUAAAAUCCAUGUCACGUUGGUCGGCAUAAUUGUCAUAAACAAUAGAUGAACCAAUAGUUAUGAAAAGAUAAUAUAUACCACAUCCGAAUCAUAGACAGGACGAGGGCCGACGGGGGCGGAUACCAAAACCAUCACACUAUAUAAGAUGCAAUAAUAAAAGUAUGAAAAUUAUACAAGUAUCUAUAUAUAUAAACAUACAAGUAAGAUUUUUUUCCUUUCAGAAAGAAGAUCAGAACAAGAGGCUCACCACAGUGGUGCCGGCGACGAGAUCGGCGCGGGCGAUCGACGGCGGUGAAGACGGGGACGGGACGUGACGGACCGCUAAACCUAGAAAAAUAUUGAGGAAAAUGGAGCUUGGAGAUCGAGCUUCGAGAGGAGAAAGCUUAAGUAGUGUGGCUCGGGCAUUCCAUCGAACACCUCGUGUGCAUAGGAGGUGAGCUAGAGCACCACAAAGCUCUCUCCUCGCCGGCCAAUAAAAACAGAGCACUGAGAGUACUCUGCUCGUGGGCGUAUAUAUAGUCAAUUAAUUGGUCCCAGUUCGUGGCUUGAACCGGGACUAAAGGGAAGCCUUUGGUCCCGGUUCAGGCCACCAACAGGGACCAAUGGUGGUGGGCCAGGACCAAGGCACAUUGGUCCCGGUUCGACCCACCAACCGGGACCAAAAGGUCCAGACGAACCAGGAUCAAUGGCCCACGUGGCCUGGCCGGCCCCCGGGGCUCACAAACCGGGUCUAGUGCCCCCAUUGGUCCCUGUUCUGGAUUGAACCGAGACUAAUGGGCUGACCCGGCCUGGACCAAUACCCCCUUUUCUACUAGUGCACCUCCGCGUUCAACACACGUACGGUUGGGGAAGACGUCUCCUCCUUAUUGAUCCAGCAAGGGGGAAGAAGAGGUUGAUGAAGAUCUAGCAGCACGACGGCGUGGUGGUGGAUGCAGCAGCGAUCUCGGCAGGGCUUCGCCAAGCUUCUACGAGAGGGAGAGGUGGUGCGUGGGGAGAGGGAGGCGCCAGAGACUUGGGUGCGGCUGCCCUCCCACCCCCCACUAUAUAUAGGCCCCCCUGGGGGGGGGCUCCGGCCCUAGGAGAUGGGAUCUCCAAGGGGGGCGGCAGCCAAGGGGUUGGCUUGCCCCGCAAGGCAAGUGGAGGCGCCCCCCAUCCCUCGGGUUUCCAACCCUAGGAGUAGGGGAGGCCAAGGGGGGGCGCACCAGCCCACCAGGGGCUGGUUCCCCUCCCACUUCAGCCCAUGGGGUCCUCCGGGAUAGGUGGCCCCACCCGGUGGACCCCCGGGACCCUUCCGGUGGUCCCGGUACAAUACCGGUAACCCCCAAAACUUUCCCGAUGGCCAAAACUUGACUUCCUAUAUAUAAUUCUUUACCUCCGGACCAUUCCGGAACUCCUCAUGACGUCCGGGAUCUCAUCCGGGACUCCGAACAACUUUCGGGUUAGUGCAUACUUAUAUCUCUACAACCCUAGCGUCACCGAACCUUAAGUGUGUAGACCCUACGGGUUCGGGAGACAUGCAGACAUGACCGAGACGCCUCUCCGGCCAAUAACCAAUAGCGGGAUCUAGAUACCCAUGUUGGCUCCCACAUGCUCCUCGAUGAACCACGAUGUCGAGGAUUCAAGCAACCCCGUAUACAAUUCCCUUUGUCAAUCGGUACAUUACUUGCCCGAGAUUCGAUCAUCGGUAUCCCAAUGCCUCGUUUAAUCUCGUUACCGGCAAGUCACUUUACUCGUACCGUAAUGCAUGAUCCCGUGACCAGACACUUGGUCACAUUGAGCUCAUUAUGAUGAUGCAUUACCGAGUGGGCCCAGAGAUACCUCUCCGUCAUAGGGAGUGACAAAUCCCAGUCUCGAUUCGUGCCAACCCAACAAACACUUUCGGAGAUACCAGUAGUGUACCUUUAUAGUCACCCAGUUACGUUGUGACGUUUCGCACACCCAAAGAACUCCUACGGUAUCCGGGAGUUGCACAAUCUCAUGGUCUAAGGAAAUGAUACUUGACAUUUGGAAAAGCUCUAGCUAAACGAACUACACGAUCUUUGAGCUAUGCUUAGGAUUGGGUCUUGUCCAUCACAUCAUUCUCCUAAUGAUGUGAUCCCGUUAUCAAUGACAUCCAAUGUCCAUAGUCAGGAAACCAUGACUAUCUAUUGAUCAACGAGCUAGUCAACUAGAGGCUUACUAGGGACAUGUUGUGGUCUAUGUAUUCACACGUGUAUUACGAUUUCCGGAUAACACAAUUAUAGCAUGAAUAACAGACAAUUAUCAUGAACAAAGAAAUAUAAUAAUAACCAUUUUAUUAUUGCCUCUAGGGCAUAUUUCCAACAGUCUCCCACUUGCACUAGAGUCAAUCAUCUAGUUACAUUAUGAUGAAUCGAACACCCAUAGAGUUCUGGUGUUGAUCAUGUUUUUCCCUAGGGAGAGGUUUAGUCAACGGAUCUGCUACAUUCAGGUCCGUAUGUACUUUAUAGAUAUCUAUGUCUCCAUCUUGAACAUUUUCACGAAUGGAGUUGAAGCGACGCUUGAUGUGCCUGGUCUUCUUGUGAAACCCGGGCUCCUUGGCAAGUGCAAUAGCUCCAGUGUUGUCACAGAAGAGUGCGAUCGGCCCCGACGCAUUGGGUAGGACUCCUAGGUCGGUGAUGAACUCCUUCACCCAGAUUGCUUCAUGCGCUGCCUCCGAGGCUGCCAUGUACUCUGCUUCACAUGUAGAUCCCGCCACGACGCUUUGCUUGCAACUGCACCAACUUACUGCCCCACCAUUCAAAAUAUACACGUAUCCGGUUUGUGACUUAGAGUCAUCCAGAUCUGUGUCGAAGCUAGCGUCAACGUAACCCUUUACGAAGAGCUCUUUGUCACCUCCAUAAACGAGAAACGUAUCCUUAGUCCUUUUCAGGUACUUUAGGAUGUUCUUGACCGCUGUCCAGUGUUCCAUGCCGGGAUUACUUUGGUACCUUCCUACCAAACUUACAGCAAGGUUUACAUCAGGUCAGGUACACAGCAUGGCAUACAUAAUAGACCCUAUAGCUGAGGCAUAGGGGAUGACACUCAUCUUUUCUCUAUCUUCUGCCGUGGUCGGGCAUUGAGCUGAGCUCAAUUUCACACCUUGCAACACAUGCAAGAACCUCUUCUUAGACUGAUCCGUAUUGAACUUCUUCAAUAUCUUAUCAAGGUAUGUGCUUUGUGAAAGACCUAUGAGGCAUUUCAAUCUAUCCCUAUAGAUCUUGAUGCCUAGUAUAUAAGCAGCUUCUCCAAGGUCCUUCAUUGAAAAACACUUAUUCAAGUAGGCCUUAAUGCUGUCCAAAAGUUCUAUACCAUUUCCCAUCAAAAGUAUGUCAUCUACAUAUAAUAUGAGAAAUGCUACAGAGCUCCCACUCACUUUCUUGUAAACGCAGGCUUCUCCAUAAGUCUGCAUAAACCCAAACACUUUGAUCAUCUCAUCAAAGCAAAUGUUCCAACUCCGAGAUGCUUGCACCAGCCCAUAAAUGGAUCGCUGGAGCUUGCAUACCUUGUUAGCAUUCUCGGUAUCGACAAAACCUUCCGGCUGCAUCAUAUAUAGUUCUUCCUUAAGAUGGCCGUUAAGGAAUGCCGUUUUGACGUCCAUUUGCCAUAUCUCAUAAUCAUAGUAUGCGAUAAUUGCUAACAUGAUUUGGACGGACUUCAGCUUCGCUACGGGAGAGAAAGUGUCAUCGUAGUCAACCCCUUGAACAUGCCGAUAACCCUUAGCGACAAGUUGAGCUUUAUAGAUGGUAACAUUACCAUCCGCGUCCGUUUUGUUCUUAAAGAUCCAUUUAUUUUCUAUCACUCACCGAUCAUCGGGCAAGUCUGUCAAAGUCCAUACUUUGUUUUCAUACAUGGAUUCUAUCUCGGAUUGCAUGGCUUUAAGCCAUUUGUUGGAAUCUGGGCCCGCCAUCGCUUCUUCAUAGUUCAAAGGUUCACCGUUGUCUAACAACAUGAUUUCCAGGACAGGGUUGCCAUACCACUCUGGUGUGGAACGUGUCCUUGUGGACCUACGAAGUUCAGUAGUAACUUGAUCUGAAGUACCUUGAUCAUCAUCAUUAACUUCCUAUUCAGUUGGUGCUGGCACCACAGGAACAUCUUCCUGAGCUGCGCUACUUACCGGUUCAAGAGGUAGUACUUCAUCAAGUUCUACUUUCCUCCCACUUACUUCUCUCGAGAGAAACUCUUUCUCCAGAAAGGACCCAUUCUUGGCAACAAAGAUCUUGCCUUUGGAUCUGAGGUAGAAGGUAUACCCAAUGGUUUCCUUAGGGUAUCCUAUGAAGACGCAUUUUUCCGACUUGGGUUCGAGCUUUUCAGGUUGGAGUUUCUUGACAUAAGCAUCGCAUCCCCAAACUUUUAGAAACGACAACUUAGGUUUCUUCCCAAACCAUAAUUCAUAUAGUGUUGUCUCAACGGAUUUAGACGGUGCCCUAUUUAAAGUGAAUGUAGCUGUCUCUAGAGCGUAUCCCCAAAAAUAUAGCGUAAAUUGGUAAGAGACAUCAUAGAUCGCACCAUAUCCAAUAAAGUGCGAUUAUGACCUUCGGACACACCGUUACGCUGAGGUGUUCCAGGCGGCAUGAGUUGUGAAACGAUUCCACAUUUCCUUAAGUGCGUACCAAAUUCAUGACUUAAGUAUUCUCCUCCAUGAUCUGAUCGCAAGAACUUUAUCUUUCGGUCACGUUGAUUCUCUACCUCAUUCUGAAAUUCCUUGAACUUUUCAAAGGUCUCAGACUUGUGUUUCAUCAAGUAGACAUACCCAUAUCUACUCAAGUCGUCAGUGAGAGUGAGAACAUAACGAUAUCCUCCACGAGCCUCAACGCUCAUUGGACCGCACACAUCAGUAUGUAUGAUUUCCAAUAAGUUGGUUGCUCGCUCCAUUGUUCCGGAGAACGGAGUCUUGGUCAUUUUGCCUGUGAGGCAUGGUUUGCAUGUGUCAAAUGAUUCAUAAUCGAGAGACUCCAAAAGUCCAUCAGCAUGGAGCUUCUUCAUGCGCUUGACACCAAUGUGACCAAGGCGGCAGUGCCACAAGUAUGUGGGACUAUCGUUAUCAACUUUACAUCUUUUGGUAUUCACACUAUGAAUAUGUGUAACAUCACGUUCGAGAUUCAUUAAGAAUAAACCAUUGACCAUCGGGGCAUGACCAUAAAACAUAUCUCUCAUAUAAAUAGAACAACCAUUAUUCUCGGAUUUAAAUGCGUAGCCAUCUCGUAUUAAAUGAGAUCUAGAUACAAUGUUCUUGCUCAAACUUGGCACUAAAUAACAAUUAUUGAGGGUUAAAACUAAUCCCGUAGGUAAAUGUAGAGGUAGCGUGCCGACGGCGAUCACAUCGACCUUGGAACCAUUCCCGACGCGCAUCGUCACCUCGUCCUUCGUCAGUCUCCGCUUAUUCCGCAGCUCCUGCUUUGAGUUACAAAUAUGAGCAACCGCACCGAUAUCAAAUACCCAGGAGCUACUACGAGUACUGGUAAGGUACACAUCAAUUACAUGUAUAUCACAUAUACCUUUGGUGUUGCCGGCCUUCUUGUCCGCUAAGUACUUGGGGCAGUUUCGCUUCCAGUGACCACUUCCCUUGCAAUAAAAGCACUCAGUCUCAGGCUUGGGUCCAUUCUUUGACUUCUUCCCGGUAACUGGCUUACCGGGCACGGCAACUCCCUUGCGGUCUUUCUUGAAGUUCUUCUUACCCUUGCCUCUCUUGAACUUAGUGGUUUUAUUCACCAUCAACACUUGAUGUUCCUUUUUGAUCUCUACCUCCGCUGAUUUCAGCAUUGAAUAUACCUCAGGAAUGGUCUUUUCCAUCCUCUGCAUAUUGAAGUUCAUCACAAAGCUUUUGUAGCUUGGUGGAAGCGACUGGAGGAUUCUGUCAAUAACCGCGUCAUCCGGGAGAUUAACUCCCAGCUAAGUCAAGCGGUUGUGCAACCCAGACAUUUUGAGUAUGUGCUCACUGAUAGAACUAUUUUCCUCCAUCUUACAACUGAAGAACUUGUCGGAGACUUCAUAUCUCUCGACCCGGGCAUGAGCUUGGAAAACCAUUUUCAGCUCUUCGAACAUCUCACAUGCUCCGUGUUGCUCAAAACACUUUUGGAGCCCCGGUUCUAAGCUGUAAAGCAUGCCGCACUGAACGAGGGAGUAAUCAUCAGCACGAGACUGCCAAGCGUUCAUAACGUCUUGGUUCUCUGGGAUGGGUGCUUCACCUAGCGGUGCUUCUAGGACAUAAUCUUUCUUGGCAGCUAUGAGGAUGAUCCUCAGGUUCCGGACCCAGUCCGUAUAGUUGCUGCCAUCAUCUUUCAGCUUGGUUUUCUCUAGGAACGCGUUGAAGUUGAGGGUAACGUGGGCCAUUUGAUCUAUAAGACAUAUUGUAAAGAUCUUAGACUAAGUUCAUGAUAAUUAAGUUCAUCUAAUCAAAUUAUUCAAUGAACUCCCACUCAGAUUAUACAUCCCUCUAGUCAUCUAAGUGAUACAUGAUCCGAGUCGACUAGGCCCUGUCCGAUCAUCACGUGAGACGGACUAGUCAUCAUCGGUGAACAUCUCCAUGUUGAUCGUAUCUUCCAUACGACUCAUGUUUGACCUUUCGGUCUCUUGUGUUCCGAGGCCAUGUCUGUACAUGCUAGGCUCGUCAAGUUAACCUAAGUGUUUAUGCAUGUGUAAAUCUGUCUUACACCCGUUGUAUGUGAACAUUAGAAUCUAUCACACCCGAUCAUCACGUGGUGCUUCAAAACAACCAACUUUCGCAAUGGUGCACAGUUAGGGGGAACACUUUCUUGAAAUUAUUAUGAGGGAUCAUCUUAUUUACUACCAUCGUUCUAAGUAAACAAGAUGCAAAAACAUGAUAAACAUCACAUGCAAUCAAAUAGUGACAUGAUAUGCCCAAUAUCAUAUAGCUCCUUUGAUCUCCAUCUUCGGGGCUCCAUGAUCAUCUUCGUCACCGGCAUGACACCAUGAUCUCCAUCAUCAUGAUCUCCAUCAUCAUGAUCUCCAUCAUCGUGUAUCCAUGAAGUUGCUUGCCAACUAUUACUUCUACUACUAUGGCUAACGGUUUAGAAAUAAAGUAAAGUAAUUACACGGCGUUUAAUCAUUGACACACAGGUCAUACAAUAAUUAAGACAACUCCUAUGGCUCCUGCCGGUUGUCAUACUCAUCGACAUGCAAGUCGUGAUUCCUAUUACAAGAACAUGAUCUCAUACAUCACAUAUAUAUCAUUCAUCACAACUUUUGGCCAUAUCACAUCACAAGGCAUAAGCUGCAGAAACAAGUUAGACAUCCUCUAAUUGUUGUUGCAUGUUUUACGUGGCUGCAAUAGGGUUCUAGCAAGAAUGUUUUCUUACCUACGUAAAAGCCACAACGUGAUUUGCCAACUUCUAUUUACCCUUCAUAAGGACCCUUUUCAUCGAAUCCGCUCCAACUAAAGUGGGAGAGACAGACACCCGCUAGCCACCUUAUGCAACUAGUGCAUGUCAGUCGGUGGAACCUGUCUCACGUAAGCGUAUGUGUAAGGUCGGUCCGGGCCGCUUCAUCCCACGAUGCCGCUGAAGCAAAAUAAGACUAGUAGUGGCAAGAAAGUUGACAACAUCUACGCCCACAAAAAAUUGUGUUCUACUCGUGCAAAGAGAACUACGCAUAAACCUGGCUCUGAUACCAUUGUUGGGGAACGUCGCAGAAAAUAAAAAUUUGUCUAUGCUUUCACCAAGAUCAAUCUAUGAGUUCAUCUAGCAACGAUAGAUAGGAGUGCAUCUACGUACCCUUGUAGAUCGCGAGCGGAAGCGUUCAAGAGAACGGAGUUGAGGGAGUCGUACUCGUUGUGAUCCAAAUCACCGAUGAUCCUAGUGCUGAAUGGACAGCACCUCCGCGUUCAACACACGUACGGUUGGGGAAGAUGUCUCCUCCUUCUUGAUCCAGCAAGGGGGAAGGAGAGGUUGAUGAAGAUCCAGCAGCACAACGGCGUGGUGGUGGAUGCAGCAGCGAUCUCGGCAGGGCUUCGCCAAGCUUCUAAGAGAGGGAGAGGUGGUGCGUGGGGAGAGGGAGGCGCCAGAGACUUGGGUGCGGCGGUACUCCCUCCCCCACUAUAUAUAGGGCCCCCUGGGGGGCGCCGGCCCUAGGAGAUGGGAUCUCCAAGGGGGGGGGGCGGUCAAGGGGUUGGCUUGCCCCACAAGGCAAGUGGAGGCGCCCCCCACCCCUAGGGUUUCCAACCCUAGGCACAGGGGGGGCCCAAGGGGGGCGCACCAGCCCACUAGGGGCUGGUUCCCCUCCCACUUCAGCCCAUGGGGCCCUCCGGGAUAGGUGGCCCCACCCGGUGGACCCCCCGGACCCUUCCGGUGGUCCCGAUACAAUACCGAUAACCCCUCAAAACUUUCUCGAUGGCCGAAACUUGACUUCCUAUAUAUAAUUCUUUACCUCCGGACCAUUCCGGAACUCCUUGUGACGUCCGGGAUCUCAUCCGGGACUCCGAACAACUUUUGGGUUACUGCAUACUUAUAUCUCUACAACCCUAGCGUCACCGAACCUUAAGUGUGUAGACCCUACGGGUUCGGAAGACAUGUAGGCAUGACCAAGACGCCUCUCCGGCCAAUAACCAACAUCGGGAUCUGGAUACCCAUGUUGGCUCCCACAUGCUCCUCGAUGAUCUCAUCGGAUGAACCACGAUGUCGAGGAUUCAAGCAACCCCAUAUACAAUUCCCUUUGUCAAUCGGUACGUUACUUGCCCAAGAUUCAAUCUCGUUACCGGCAAGUCACUUUACUCGUACCGUAAUUCAUGAUCCCGUGACCAGACACUUGGUCACAUUGAGCUCAUUAUGAUGAUUCAUUACCGAGUGGGCCUAGAGAUACCUCUCCGUCAUACGGAGUGACAAAUCCCAGUCUCGAUUCGUGCCAACCCAACAGACACUUUCGGAGAUACCCGUAGUGUACCUUUAUAGUCACCCAGUUACGUUGUGACGUUUGGCACACCCAAAGCACUACUACGGUAUCCGGGAGUUGCACAAUCUCAUGGUCUAAGGAAAUGAUACUUGACAUUUGGAAAAGCUCUAGCUAAACGAACUACACGAUCUUUGAGCUAUGCUUAGGAUUGGGUCUUGUCCAUCACAUCAUUCUCCUAAUGAUGUGAUCCCGUUAUCAAUGACAUCCAAUGUCCAUAGUCAGGAAACCAUGACUAUCUGUUAAUCAACGAGCUAGUCAACUAGAGGCUUACUAGGGACAUGUUGUGGUCUAUGUAUUCACACGUGUAUUACGAUUUCCGGAUAACACAAUUAUAGCAUGAAUAACAGACAAUUAUCAUGAACAAAAAAAUAUAAUAAUAACCAUUUUAUUAUUGCCUCUAGGGCAUAUUUCCAACACCUCUUGCCUCGGCAACUCUUUACGGUGGUUGUGAUUGGUGGUUGGUAUUGCCCAAAGCCGAAAUACCUUCGGUGUCGUCGGCUAGCUAGGCUCCAACAGUACUUGUUUAUUUGAUGGAGAUCAUACUCUGAUUGUGUAGUUGUAUCACUAAGACGGUCAACAACAUAUCUUAUGUGUGACAAAAUAUGAUUUAGACUGUUGUCUUUUGAUGUUGACCCGGCUGUGAAGUUGGCAUUUAUUAUGCCAUAAAGUUCGUUUGCUGCCAUGUGAUCUCCACUGAGGCUGCUACUCCAGCUAUUGCUAAAAUAGUCUAUUAUUCCUUGUUCUUUUUGCUUAUGCUUAAGAGACUUGCAUUUUUCCUGAGCCAUUUGUAGUUUGUUAUAGUUUAUGUCUUGCAGAACUUUGCUGUAAGAGCCUUCCACGCACUUGAGAGCUUCAGCUGCUAGUUGAUCUAGAGCUUCUUCAACUUUGCCAUACACAUGGAUGGAUAUUGAAUUUCUUGGAAGUAUAUCGUUCAGCUGGUGCUUACACCCAUAGAAGUGAAUUGUUGCAUCAAGACCAGCUGGCUUUCCCUUCUUUGUUGAGUAUACUGCGCUUGGGAGGCCAAGUUGCUGCAGCAUAGCGUCUAGAAGCACCUUUGUUGGAAUCUUGACCUUUUCCAUUUUGGCUGCUUAAUGACAAGGAAGAAUAUAUUGUUAGCAAGUGAAGUUUAUCAAUUUGUAUUAAUUAGUAGAAAGACAUAAGGAUCACAGUAACCAAAUGAUAUGUGCUGUGUAUCCAUCUAUAAAAUGAGGCCCUCACUUUCUGCACUGGAAGCCUUCUACUGGCCUAUUUUAAUGUAGACGAUUUUUUUUGUAUUUAUAAAGCCUACUUCUGUACAGUGCAAGUAAGCAGUUAUAUGGGGCCUUGUUUAUGGUAAAUAGAAAAGUAGCUUCCAUUAAUAAAUUUGUUUUUUUGUAUGGUAUAAAAAAGGCAAAUAUUAACAGUAUUUUAGUAUAUGCAUUUGUUGCAAAUAUUUGGCACAAAUCUCUCUCUCUCUUUCUCUCUGUGUGUGUGUGUUUAUGAAGGUUAUCCGCACAAUUGAAAGAGUGAUGAUAGAAAAAUUCAGACACAAAUCAAAAUAUGCUUAGUAAUAAUACAUAAUGUUUUAACAAGCUUGCGAUUGAUUAUUUACAAUGUUAUUAGCAAGAAAAGUAGAUAGCCAGACAAAUAUCAUAUCGGCGCAUUGAAGUGAUGAACAUUAAUUCAGCUAUUGCUGCACGUGUCAUCAUCAUUGAAAAUGACCUUGUUGUCCAGCAUAGCCACUAUAUGGGCCUACAUCCAUUGCAAUUCUGUCCUAAUCUAUCUGUUGUAGUUCUGUCCUAAUCUUCUUCCACGUGGUUGACUGCUAGUCUUUUUUUUACAAACUCAAGCGCCCCAAGGAGGGUCUCCCUGCUUUCAUUAAAAUCAGAAACCAAAAGGCUGACAGUUUGAGUAACAUCACAGACCUCAAAGAUAAAGAAAACUACAAUCAUGCCCUCAAGAUACACGUGCUGAGAGACCACAACACACGUCAAUUGUUGCUUCACGAGCUGCCACCAUGUAGCACAAUGCCUACCAUGUGUCUCGCAUGACUGCUGGUCUUGAUUCCAUCCACCAGUCUUCGUCCCAUUCCUCUCCCCCUAUACUCGUACUGAAGUGAUGUGAGGAAGAAGCUGGAGGAGGCGGACGAGGGCACCUUGGGUUCCAUCAUAGCGACGGCUCACACUGCAACUUGGCGGUGGAGCAGCUCCCGCUGCAGCUCAGAGGCGCUGCGGCUCCAUCUGCAUCUCGGUGGCCCAGCAGCUCGGAGUUGCAGCAGCUCCAACUGCAUCCCGACGGCCCAGCAGCUCCCGUUGUAGCUCAGAGCCACAAAAUCGGUAGAUGGCGCCGCCGUUUCUCGUAUGGGUGAGCCAAAUCUGCGCAGUUGCCACUGUCACUCCCCGCCGUAGGUGGCGUCUGUUCCGGCUGUGCUGGCACUCCCUGAAGAUGGUGACUUUCCAUGACAAAGGAGGCUCCAGCAAGACGAUACGGCUGCUGUUUCCACUUAGGUAAAAACUAACCUCCUUAGGUGUUUGAUGUCUAUAGUUUUUUUUUGUGAGCUCAUUAGUUCGAUCUCCACCAGUAGUAGUUACCUCGCUGCUGGAAAAUUGAACGUUAAUUCACCCCUGCAACCUUAGCUUCUAGAAGCCAUUGUCAAGGGCGGGUGCAUGGUCCUGGAUAAUAUUUAACUGAUCUAUGACAAAAGAAAAGAAAUCAAAAUCGAAUACACAUCAGCAUAAGCUUUAAUUUAUCAAGAAAAUGCAUUUAUAUAAUUUGUAAUUAGCUCAGAUUAUAGUAUAAACAAAAAUAAAUUACAACAUGUUCAAAUGAAUUAUGAGGGCUCAAGACCUCGAACAAGAUGUGAAAACCCAAAGUCAGAUAAAUUCUAACUGCACUCGUACUUAUAACUACUUCCUCUGUCAGAAAAUAAGUGUCGUUGAGUGCUAAAUUUGACACUUAUCGCAUGCAUUUGUAUGUUCACUAAAUCAAAGAGAAAAUAAAGCAGGAAGUACAUAAAGUCCGGGCUGGUCAAGUCUACAUUGACAACCGCUACGUGGGAGGAAUUAGAGUUUGUUGCUAGUUAGUAUGUACAAUACAGUCUAUUCUUGCUAACAACAUUUGCUAUUACUCUUAAAUCACACAUCAUGUUUCUAUUUUCUAAAUUAGUAUAGUGACCUCGAUAUAGCAGAAAACAAACACACGUGUAGCUAGCUUAAUUACCUCACAAAGCUAUUACCAAGGAAGUAGCAAAAUCUUGAGCUCCUUCUGGUUCUUAAUCUGUUUCCACUUGAGGAAUCCCUCUCUACCUCCCAAUCUUCACUGAUGCCUGCAAAAAGUAUGCACAUGGGACUGCAUUAAGAUAGCCAAAUUAACAAAUAGUCCAACAAAAUCAUUCACUAUAACCAAGAAUAGUUACCUUCCUAAACCACAACUAUAGGAUGGCAGAGACGCCAAAAUAGCUCAAAUAAUGCAGCCACUGGCUGAUUUCCAGGCAUUAUUCUGACACAUACUUGCACUUUCUAAAGCACCUACAGUAAUAAGUUAGAAAACCAAUUUUGGCCUUCAUCACACAAGUACCGAGAAGACACUUCCUGCUCACUGAUGAGUGACCUUACUUAAGUACCGAAAAAUCAAAACAAAAUGUUGAUUUCAAGAGGGGAAGCAGACACAAGUAACUUUACAUAUUGCUGUCAUUUAAGAUCUAUACUGGAAGAUGUUGUAUGAGUAACUAUAUACAAUUCAUAAAUAAACCUGCGACAACAUGCACACAAAAUCAGAAAGAAUUAGAAACGUUUCGUGCUUUGUAGAAAUCUUUAUAAUUGAAAACUAAAUAUAUAAAAAUCAUUGCAACUCAUCUUUGUUUUGUACAACACUCUGUAACAUGCAACCAAGAAACUCAAAUUUUGUUCAACUUUCAUACCCUCAAAAUGCAUGGCUAAUAGGGUUUGAAUGUACAUAGGUCAUUAUGCAGUAGAGAAAAAUAUAACCAGCCAAAGUGAUAAGUCAGUCUCUAUGUGUAAAGGUUGGAGGCUAUAUUCUGAUAAGUGAGAAUCCAUCAAAGCAAAAGCAAUCCAAGAUUAUCUUUCCUAAAAAUGUAGAUGAAUGAAAUAAUGCUUCGCAUUUAGUAUGCCAUUCUUAUUUCUUUCUGGACAUUUAACAAGGAAAUUCACAUAAAUUAGAAGAUUACUUAAAAUCAUCUUUAUUACCCGUGAUCGUGAGCUUGUGAACGAAGUUAAUCUGUGUCGUUGUCCCUUCCUGAGAUUACCCCGGCAGUCACCUCAUUAUUGACCUAUAUGCCAUCUGACAGCAUCAAAUACCUCCUUCCAUGGCAGAGGAUAUAUUCUGCACCACUGCCACUGCAAAGGAAACAUGAAUGAACUAAAUGAGCAUGUAAAGACUAUAAGAAUAAUAUACAUAUGCUGACACCUUGAACAGAUAGUACAAAAUUACCCAUGUCCUGCACACAACACACAUCAUCCACCUUAUCGCAAAUAUCAAAACAAAUUUGUGAAAAAUCAAAUACACAAAUUCCACUCAAAGAUAAUCAUAUGCAAUCGUGAUAUGUUAACCAUUUGAUGAAAUGCAUCAAUCACAUAUUAGAACCAACAUUGAGACCCAGCCUACUGAUAGAGGCCACUAUUUAUAACCAUUUUAAUGGGCAUUAGCUUUAACCUAAGGGCCUGACACGUUUAUGCAUUGAGAAAUUGUAAAAUAUACAUUGUGAAAACUAAUUAUAUUCAUUCAUUGGCCAUGCAACCAUGUGAAUUAGAACCUUACGAGAUAGAGUAUCUACAUGAAAAACAGAUACAACAUAAGAAGAUAAGACAAAAUAAUGUUAUGUAUCAACCCGCAACCAAAAAUAUGUCAGCAAUAUGAGGAAAAUCAUCUAUAAAAAAGUGUUAUCUUAACCAUUAAUUCAUAAUAUAACCUCACCAUAAAAUAUGUCGGCAAUAUCAGUAUACUGUGUUGAAUAAAAGUUGUACAACUCAUUCCAUUGAGCUGUGGGUCCGGCCGUCCGGGAAUAAGCAUGAGCAAAAAUAUUUAAACACUUCAUCUGACAUUGGAUCACUGUAGGUGGUCAAGAAAUUAACAUGUGUUUCCUGCCUGAAGAAAGAAAAAUAGGCAGAAAGUCUGCACACUAUCUUGACUGAUUGAUAUGAUUAUUAUAAAGAAAGAUCAUGAACUGCAACUCUUCCCAAAAUAUAUAACGCAAAUGCAUCAUUUCAACUGCAGCAUGGGAUAAUUUGGAACAGUUUCACUGUCUAAAAUGAACUGUUUAAUAGAGGAAAAUUAUGCCUAAACUAAACUUGCUGACAACCUCGCCAGGCGCUCAUAAAAGUAUCACUCAAAUUUGCCGCAGAACACACAAAAUAUCUUGUUGGGAGACGAUGCUACUCUCUAUUCCAGUUAGCUAUAUAAAUGAUACAUUUUACUUUUUUGCACUUCGUCGAGCAGGUAAAAUCUGUAACAAAAGAAAUGUUCACACAAAUGAAACACUGAAAUUACCUCUGCAGAUAAAUAUAACCAAGUCAACAAGCAGUAGGUACAUCAGAUCAGUCUUGCAUGCCGUCAACUAAAUGGAAGACAACCAGAAUAUACCGGUUCUGCACUGAACAUUGGCUAUUUCUGUCAAAGGUGUUGCUAGCCCUCUUUUGUGUGAGGCAAAACUUGAGAAAUCAGCAACCCAUGAACAAAUCGUAGGCUACCAAUCACAUGAUCAGCAGCUGAAACAACAAGAAAUUAAGCAAUUAGUUAACUAAAAUUAAGAACAAUAGACUUCACCACUACUAGAAAAAGGCCUACUAAUGGCGCACCGGUUUUGCCUACUAAUGGCGCUCACGCCACUAGUAUUUUUUACUAAUGGCGCACCACUGGUGCGCCAUUAGUAUCUGGUAUACUAAUGGCACACCAUGUAGUGCGCCAUUAGUAUAGCCCACGGUGCGCCAUUAGUAUCUGGUAUACUAAUGGCGCACCACAUAGAAGUGCGCCAUUAGUAACAUUUUUUUUAAAAAAAAUUCAGAAUUUUUUUUUUAAAAAAAUUUCAAUUUUUUUAAAUUUUUUUUAAUCUCAGUUCACUAUGGCUUAAUCUCAGAUCAAAUCGCACUCCAUGGUCAAACUUCUCGAAAGGUCACCCAUCCUCACACUACUCCAGCCCAAGCACGCUUAAAUUCAGAGUUCUAUCCAACCCCAGCAACAGCUCACUUCACAGGCACUUGUUGAUAUAUCUAGCAUAUCAAUCCUGUUAUAUCUUGUUGAUGUCUAGGACUUUGUUCAUGUUCAUGACUAUGAUGAAAUUUUGAAAAAUAUUUCAAACUUCCCGGUCAUAUUACGUAUCAUUUUUUGAAAAAAAAUUCAAAACCAUUUUUUUUCUGUUACUAGUGGCGCACCACAUCCACGGUGCGCCACUAGUAAGUUUGAAAUUUUUUGAAUUUCUUUGCCGCUAGAUCUUGAAAGCCCCGUAACUUUUUUUCUGUUAGGUUUUUGGGGAUUUUGAAAAUGUUUAACGGGGUUCCCCCCUUAAAUUUGGAUGUAACUUUCCGAGUAGAUGAUUUUUCAUAUAAAAAACUUUUUCAUCCGAUUUCGUAUGCAAAAGUUAUGCCCAUUUUACAAAUUUCCUGAGAGAUUUUGCAAAUAAAGUCAAAAUUCAUAUUUGUAAUUUUUCCAAAAACUAGAGCACAUAUCACAUGGGAAACAUAUUUUCUUUUAUUUUUUGACAUUUCCAUCAUUUUCUUUUAUUUUUUUUAAAACUGAAAAGGCGAUCCACGGGGGUGCAUUCGGUGUUGGGGCAAGUUAGUAAUGGUGCACGGUGCGGUGGUGCGCCAUUACUAAUGGCGCACCACACCCAUGGUGCGCCAUUACUAGUUUGAAAAAAAAAAUAAAAAAAUUGAUAUUUUUUUUGAAAAAAACUUAGUAAUGGUGCACCAGUGGAAAGUGCGCCAUUACUAGUUAAAACUAGUAAUGGCGCACCGAGACAUGGUGCGCCAUUAGUAACAAUUUUUUUUUAUUUUACUUUUUUUUCAAAACUACUAAUGGCGCACGACGGAUGUGGUGCGCCAUUACUAUGUCAAUUAGUAAUGGCGCACUAUGCAACGGUGCGCCAUUAGGAACAAUGUUUUUUUAUGUUUUUCUUCAAAACUACUAAUGGCGCACCACACACCAGGUGCGCCAUUAGUAAUAUAUUACUAAUGGCGCACCGAGACAUGGUGCGCCAUUAGAAUAUAGUAAUGACGCACCACAUCACAGGUGCGCCAUUAGUGGCCAUUCCAUCUAUAGCCCUUUUUCUAGUAGUGCACAUAUGAAUCUGAAAGGCAAUGAACGGGGGAGACAUUUUUCUCUCUACAAAUUCUUCUAGCAACAAAGAAUUUGUGCAUAGAAAUAGGUGUCUUCCUUUAGUUGAGCUUUUCAGUUUGAGAAAUUACCUCGAAAAUCCUAGAAUAGUUGAGAUUUUCAGAUGUGGGCCUCUUCAUGCCUUCUCCACUACUGCCUGUUGCCACUUGUGCUGGUCAGACCUAAACUGUGAUACAAAAAAUAACACGGAUUAACAGAGCAAGCUCCAAAACUCUACAGCAGGAAACCUAUCCGAAUCUCGCUGCAAUGCAAAAUGAGUUUGCGCAUUAGUAUGAAGUGACUCUAGUAACUAUAUUGUCUAUUCAAAUCUUAUUAGCAUUGCCUGUUAUACCAAACCAAAGUUUCAGAUUUCAAAAGUACCUGCAUUAACUGAAAACCAUGUACACCGAGCCCGUCCUGUUUAGACUCCUUUGCAUGUGUUUCAUAAAAUUAUCUGAAUCUCACUGCAAUGCAAAAUAAGUUUGCGCAUUAGUAUGAAGUGACUCUAGUAACUAUAUUGUCAAUUCAAAUCUUAUUAGCAUUGCCUGUCAUACCAAACCAAAGUUUCAGAUUUCAAAAGUAUCUGCAUCAAAACCUGAGCACAAUCACCCCUUAGCCCGAUUCUUCCAAAACCUGAGCAUAAUCACACACAAAAUGCGGAAAAUUUAGUCCGACCAUAAGUAAUAUCCAUUCAUUUUGGUUAUUUGCAUCAAAUUGGGAAUCAAUCAAUGUAUCAAAAAGCGAAACCUGAUGAAGCAUCAGGGAAAUUAGCAGACCAUCCUGCACGACCUGAAUUAUUACACCACCCACAUCAAUCAAAUUAGUGUAACAGCAUGAAUUACUAUUUGAAAAGAAUAAAUCAUGAAAGAAGUGGACAAGAAACCAUGAAAAGGUACCAACAGAGAUGGAGAACAAGGGGCGAGAGUAUGGGCCGCAUGUCAUCCAAGAAAAUCUCUACAAUGGUGGGAUGACGUCGAUGACAAAGAAAUAACAUGUGGCUCAAUUCCUUCCUCUUAUCCUCUCACUCCAGCCCCCUCUUUUCCAUCCCUCUCUUUCAAACACACAUGAUGUCCUCCCCAGAGCAGUCCUCCUUGAGCAUUUAUACAAACAGCUGGUGGUCGCAUCUGCAGCCUCAAAAACAGAUCACAAUUUUAGAAAUUAUUAUGUGCAUAGCUGCAGCCACCUCUGCACAAUAAUAAUUCUUGCAAUGCAAUGCAAUCAAAUCAAGAGAGAGGGAGAGAGAGAUAGAAAUUAGAGAGGGGUUUGCAGAUUCACCCGCACACUUGAGGCAGCGAGGACGCAAGUGAAUAGAGCACCUGCGCGUUGGGGAAGAGGGGGUGGGCGUCGACGGACAAGCGGAUGGCACGAAGCUCGUGGAUCCUCCGUACAUAUGUGCCUAUUCCGGCCGCGAGGGCGCGCGAGGAGAGGAAGAUGGCGUUCAACGGAAGGCUUCCCUCCUCACCUGUGUGGCCGCAAACCACCUCUUUCUCACUCAGUUCGAGCCCAUGCUCUGCUAUGGCGGCUGCGCCCGAUCCAGAAGAGAGGAGGAGCUAGCCGGUGGCGGCGCGAUGUGGGAGGCCGUGGGAAAGAGGGAGGAGGCGCCGCCGGAUGGGGAAGAAGGAGGAGGCGAGGGAGGACGUCAUCCCUUUGACUGCUUGAUCUAGGUUUUUUCACGGGCGUCUUCAUUGGUCACCGACCGAGUCGACGAGCACUUCGCUGCCGCAUGGACCAACGAUUUUAUGGGCCCAGUGGCAGUCACCUAGUAAAUCAGUCAAAGAUGUAACAAAAGAUAGCAGUGAACAGUAAAAAUCAAGGGUGAAAAACGAUCGAGCGAGUUGAUCGAACGGCCGAACAUUGCGCGCGCGCGAAGGCCUGCAGAUGGGCGGGUACCCUAGCAGGCUUUAUAUGUUCAAUGCGGACUGCAUGCAACCUCCAUCACCUAAUGUUAUGCACGUACUGAUCGACUUGAAUGAAUCACCCAUCCAUAUCCCAACUAACUCAUGCAUCCACGACUUUUUUUUGAGGGGUAAUAGCCAAUUUAUUCAUCAAAGACCACAGUUUGUGGGAUACAUCUUAGGUUGUGGGUUGGCCAAACCAAACGUGGCGCCCCGAACCUAGCGAAAGUGCGAACUUGGCUAAACUAUGUGCUUCAACAUUGACAACACGACUCUCGAAAAUAAAGUUAGACUGAAACUGCACUGACUUAAGAUUAAUCUCCCUAACUAUUGCUCCGCAACUACCAUUGCUACCAUUAAGAAUAUCUGAGACAACUUGCUUUGAAUCACAUGAAAUGAUAACAUCAUGGACGUUGAGAUCUUCAGCUAGGGACAAGCCCUCCCUGCAUGCUAUGGCUUCAAGGGCUGCAGGGUCAUCAACCCCGUCGAGAACAAGAGCCGCACUGCCCAAAAAUUGUCCAGAACUAUCCCGGCAGACUGUAGCUGCCGAACCACCUCUUCCCUUCAGCACAGCGGCGUCAACAUGGAUUUUGACAAAACCGGAAGGUGGUGCCUUUGGUCGCUGCUUUAUAUUGGCUGCUGGUGCUUGCACUUGGCCGGAUGAAGGGCACCUUUAUGAUCUCUAGCUCCCCUAUGAACCUGUUAAUGAAGGAGAAAGUUGCCUGGGGGGAUUGGAAAAUGCCCUCGUGAAUGGCCUUGCGGCGGGCCGACCAUAUUGCCCAUAAGGUGACCGAUAGCAGGACAAACUUGUCAUGUGUCAUUGAAUCCAUCAUGGUGAACAACCACUGUUUGGCACUAGGUUCAGAAUUAGAGACCAGAUUCUGAGCCAUAUCCUCAUCAACCAAGGCCCAAGUGCAUCUCGACGUGGUGCAGCUGAUCAACGAAUGUCUCCACGAGUCAGUCACCCCACAAAAACCACAUCCCGAUGAGUCAGCCAUGUGCCUCUGCAAUCUGAUAUCUUCAGUUGGUAACGAGUGCUUGGAUAGCCUCCAAAGGAACAUCCUAACUUUAGCCGAAACCUGUGUUUUCCAUAGUUUCUUCCAGGAGCUAGAUUCUGUAGCUAAAAUUGAUGUCCCCGGAGUCCCUUCCAUCCAUGCUUCUCUCCUUUGUUUUAUUGCCACCAGCAGGUUGUACGCCGUCUUAACAGAAAAUAGACCAUCCUUUCCUGGAUGGGUCGCGUACACAGUGGGAUCCCCAUGAUAACUCGCGCGUCCAUUGGCAAGAACACCUCCUCCACCCGGUCUUUCUUCCAUAUUGUGGUGGUAUGAUCAAUAAGCUCGGAGACUAGGGUUGGAGGGUCAGUAACAUGGCAUCCAUAUGGCCUCAUAUUCUCCUCUUUGGGGAGCCAUGAGUCAUUCCAUAUAUCAGUAGAUGCACCAUUGCCUAUCUGCUUGAUCAAGCCUAAUUUGAGUGUAUCCCUUCCUUCAAUAAUCGCUCUCCAUAUUUGGCUAGGGUGUCCUCCCAAGUUAGCUUGCAACAUUGAGGAAUCAGGGUAGUAAAUGCUCUUAAGAAGACGAGCACUUAAAGUCUCCGGGUUUUGUAACAGGCGCCAUACUUGCCUAGCCAACAUUGCAAGAUUGAAGAGCUCAAAGUCCUUAAAACCAAGACCACCCAUCCACUUGGGUUGCGUCAUUGUCUUCCAGGAAACCCAAUGAGGCUUUCGUCUCCCGUCUUUGCUUCCUCACCAGAAUUUCCUGAUGAGCAUAUUCAAGUGUUUGCACAACCCUCUUGGCAAUUUAAAGCAAGACAUGGAGAAGACUGGAACUGCCUGAGCCACAGAUUUCACUAAAACCUCCUUCUCUGCUGUUGAUAAGGUGCUUUCCAGCCAUCCCUGAACUUUGCUCCAUAAACGAUCCUUGAGGUAUUUGAAGGCACCGUUUUUUGACCCACCAAUAUCAGAUGGCAUACCAAGGUACUUCUCAUUCAGUGUUUCAUUUGGGACAUUUAGCACACCUUUUAUUUCCAGUCUAAUACUCUCUAGAACCCCCUUGCUGAAAAAUAUAGAAGAUUUUGAGAAGUUAAUCAUUUGCCUUGAUGCUUGGCAAUAGCUAUCCAGUACGAGGUUCACCUCUGUAGCUCCAUCAUUGUUAGCCUGGAAAAAUAGCAGGCUGUCAUCAGCGAAUAAAAGAUGGUUUAUCGGUGGCGCCGAUGGUGCCACUUGUAGACCAUGCAUGUUUGAUGACUCUCCUUUUGAUUUAAGUAGGCACGAAAGGCUCUCUGCUGCUAACAAGAACAAAUAUGGAGAUAUUGGGUCCCCUUGUCUGAUUCCACGAGAUGGUUGGAAUUCAUCCAGUUUUCUUCCAUUGAACAUCACUGAAAACUUCACUCUAGUAACAAGAUUAAUAACUAUAUUUACCAAUCUUUCAAUGAAGCCCAGUUUUAGCAUGAUAGCUCUAAGAUAAGGCCACUCAAUCCUGUCAUAGGCCUUCAUCAUACCCAAUUUUAACGCACAUGACCGGUGUUUCUUUGCUCUAUCGCGCUUCAUGAAAUGUAAGCACUCGUAUGCCGUGAUGUUGUUGUUAGUGAUCAACCUGCCUGGCACGAAAGCGGUCUGCUCUUCCGAUAUUAUCUCGGGUAAUACCACCUUCAGUCUAUCUCUACUACUAUAAAAUUCUCAGUUGGUGGUGAUGGUGUGCCUGCCAUCCAUCAGUUUAGACCAUCAGAUCUUCAUCCAACGUACAUGAGGCAACCCACUUCAGCCGGGUGAUUCUCUCCUCCCCCUGCUACAGUAUAAAGGUGAAAAGGAAGCGACCGGGAGGCGACUUCAGUUCUUCCGCCGACGAUCUCGUCGCUCCUCUUCGCCUCCGAUGGCCGUCUGACCUCGUGAGGCGUGGGGGGAGCUCCAGCACUCCGCCUGCGUGUAGAUACGGGUUGGUUGGGCAGCGCUCGGAUGGUGGCGGCGCGUCGCGUCCAAUAAAGCGGUCCUGGCUCCUACCCCAUCUCGCCGGCGAUGGCGAGGAGCCUAUGGGCCUGUGUGGUCUGGCGGUUCUGCUGAGGCGACAGUUACACCAUCGACUCUGGUAUUUUGCCCUGUCCCCGCCUCGAUGGUUCACGCGCUAGAGCUGCCGACGGGGUGUGUGAGUAGUUGUACAGGUGAUGUGGCGGUGAUGGCCGCCUAAGAUUUGGUUUGCGGCGACUUACAGAGGCGGCUGUUCUGGUGACCAGUUUGUAGCUAGCUGGACAGAGGAUCUGGUAGCCCUUCUCGCCGGAGGAGAUCCAGAGGCGGUGGAGCGCAGGGUGUGUCCUCCCCGAUCGAUGGCCUUCAUCAGUUUGGUGCCUCCGUUCAUGUUGACUUCUGUUCCAUAUCACAACCCAGAUUCUUGCCAGGCGCUUCUCCUGCUCACAAAUGGAUUCGUCCACGGUCAUCUCGGUGGCGGCGGCCAGAGGCGUGCGGGCUCUCUUUGGGGCCUUCAGGGAUGUGGUUCUAUUCUUCUUUGUUUGGAGGUCCUUUCUUCAAGUUUUCAGCUGGUUCUGGUGUCUUCGCGUGACGGCGUGAGUGUGUACGUGUUUAUUUUUCACUUUUGAGGGGAAAAUGUCAGCGCACGCCAUGAGCAAGCCAACAAUAACAAAUAUUGAGAGGAGGAAUCCGGCUGCUGGAUGCGCCAUGCAUGUGCUGUUGUAAACUUGUAAUGCGUUGAGAGGAUUCACCAUUGUCUUGCGUGGAGCAGGUUCUAGAGCUAAGGCGAAAGACACAACUUUUGGGACUGGGUCGUGUGCCUGGACUGCAUGUAUUGUAGGUUGUGUUAUAUGCUUUAAGGUACUUGUGUUUUUUAAUCAUGAAAGUGGUUUAGAAUGUUACAACAUCAAUUUUUCGGAUGCGUGAUUUACCAUUGGCAUUACAUUUUUUCCAUGGAUGGCAUGGUGCAUCAUAUAAUGCUCAUACCUCAUAGACAAGCAUAGAUGAUCAGAUGACUCGACAUGAGCAGGUGGAGGAAUGAGAUAAUGUGCUAACAUGUUGAGCCCAUCGACUUGAGCCGAAGGAUAGUAGUCACCGUACUUCCAUUGCGCAUAUUUGCGGGGACCACUAUUGAUAUUUCUGCAUUGUUGUUCUUCCAUUAUUGAUACUAAAGUUAGGUACGCAGUAUAACUGAGAUGCUUAAUGUGUCCCCUUUUCUAGCGGAGAAUGGUGCAGACUGCAGGUGAAGCCCGUGCUAAGAAAAGAGGAGCCGAAGAGAUAGAUUGAUUUGGACUCGGAAAUAAAGUUGGCCGAGUAUAAUCAUAAUCACCAAAUGAGUGUGGAUGGAUUUCUAUUUGCCUCAUGCUCUCUACCACUCAAUAUUAGGAUAAAGUAAGCGUUGAGAAACCCGAGUAGGAAGAAUACCAAGUCUUCUUGCAAGGUGAAAAUGAAGGAGAAAAUAUUUGUCUUGGACCAAGGGGUUAUCGAUUGGAAACCGUAUAUCGGUUGUGGGCCUAUUAACAAUAUAAGGUCACUUUGAUAAAUGUCAAGUAAAGUAAAAAAAAUUGUUCCGUGGCGACGCACGGGUAUCUUAAUUAUAACUUAAUAAGUAAACAAAUGUUCUAUUGAUCAUUUCUUACCCCGUAGCGUAGCACGGGCAUCUUACUAGUUAGAUAUAACUUUUGAAGCAAUUUUGUAGAGCACAUUGCAUAGACUGAUUGGUCGAAAUUGUGAAAGCAGUGUGGGAUUUUUUACCUUUGGGAUCAACACCAACACAGUUUCAUUAAUGCAAGCCGCUGAUUCCAUACCAUCAACAAUUUUUAGGACUGCAUUGGUAACCUCAUUGCCGCAAAUCUCCCAAUGCCUCUAGAAAAUAUGUGCAAGGUACCCAUCAGGUCCCGGCGUCUUUGUUGGGAACAUUUGGAAGAGAGCCGUCUUCACCUCUUGUUGAGUAUAUGGAGCAUUUAAGUUGUCAUUCAUCAACUGCGAAACCUUCUUGGGCACCGUGUCAAGGACCUGUUCAAUAUUGUUAACCCCUUCCGAUGUCUACAACUGCUUAUAAAAGGAAGUGGUUAACGACUCCAUCUCCAGUGUAUCGUCUGUCAUCUGACCAUCCGAACGUUUCAACACUUUUAUUUGAUUUUUCCGCCGACGUCUGCUGGCCCGUAGGUGAAAAAAAAUACGUAUUUUUAUCUCCAUGGAUUAGCCACUCCACUCUUGCUCGCUGACGCCAAAAGAUUUCCUCGCGUUGAUAAAGCUCAACCAGACGGUCUGAAACCUUGAUUUCCUCGUGCGACGGGCCUGCCCUCCCUUGGGAUGUACGCAUAAUAUCAAGCUCUCUUCUUUAGUCUGCAAAUCUCCUGCUUGACGUUGCCGAAAUGCACCCGAUCCCAGGUGGAAAGGUCACCUGACAGCAACUGCAGCUUAUCCCGAACAGUGGCAACGGAAUCUCCCGGUGUGCGUGUCCAUGCAGAGCCAAUCACUGCCGCUAGGGACUCGUCUCUCUCCCAUGCAACUUCAUAUUUAAAAGGCCACAUGCCCCUCUUGCAUGCAUGCUUGUCCGUGAAGUUUAACAUGAUAGGUAUAUGAUAACUAGCUGCAAGUUUGUGCUCAAGUGUAGCGGCUGGGAAAGCAAGCAUCCAUUCUGGGUUAGCAACACAACGAUCCAGUCUGACUUCUAAACGUACCGUCUGCAACUUUUUUCUCCCAAGUCCAGUCUAAUCCCCUGUAGCCUAUAUCUGAGAGUCCACAUGUGUCCAGCGCAUUGCGAAAAGCAUCCAUCUGUGCUUGACUCCGUUGUCCCACGUCGUCGUGUUCGUUAGCAUGGAGCACCUCGUUAAAAUCUCCUAUCACAGCCCAAGGUAAAUUGCUGGUUCCAACAAUGCCUCUUAACAUAUUCCAAGUCUUGUAUCUUUCGUUUACCUGUGCCUCUCCAUAGAUAAAGGUUAUUCUCACCUGCACUUCUACCAUAUCAGCAACAUUGACAUCAAUGUGAUACUCAGAGUAACCAAUAACUUCGAGUUUUAUUUCAUCAUUUAAGAAAUACUCAAACCACCACUUCUACCAUUACUGCUUACAGCAAAGCUUUUAUUGUACCCUAAAGUUCCUGCCAUAUUUUCUACUCUAGAGCCCUCUAUUUGAGUUUCAAGGAGACAAACGACAGAGGGGGCAAGUUGCUUCGAGAGGUCUUGAAGCAAACUAGGGUACGAACUAGGGUACUCAUUGCGCUAGGUGCACGCCCCACUUGGAGGCCCGCCACACGCGCAUCGAAGUCUUGUUCCCAUUGCUUUCCUUUCCUCCAUUCUUGUUAGCAUUUGCUGGUGUAGGUUUAUUCCUUUUUUGCUCCUGUUUUGGGGGAGGGCUUUGAGGUACUGUGGUCUGGUUUGGUUUACCACCCACAGUGAGUAGUGGUGUUUUCCCUGUGAGGGUCACCGACUGGUCCGUGACCUGAGCAACACUACUCUUCCUGUUAUCCACAUCCAACAUCACAGAAUCCUUGUCAUACCCAUCUUCUGUACCAAUAGGAUCAUCCUACGACUGUCCAUGACCUAGUCCAUGACCCGCUCUCCCCCUUCCUCUGUUGUCUCCUUGUGCCCUUCCGGCUCCAGGGCCCCGACCUGGCCCUCUGAACGAGUCUGCUUUCAGUCCUUUAAAAACCAUUGCCGAUGGGGGGUGAACCCCGUCGCCGCAUUCUUUGUGAAGAUGCCCCAAAUUUCCACAGACCGAACACCAAUCAGCCAACCGCUCAUACUUGACACAAAAGAUUUUCCUUUUCUUCUUGAUGAUCAGCGAAACGGCAUUCUUCAGGGGUUUGGUGAUGUCAACCUUUACCCUAACUCUGAAAAAAUUCCCUUCAAAGUCAAAACUUUUCUGCUCUGCAUAUAUGAAGUCGCCAACUGUACUCGCCAAAGCCUUGAUCAUUGGGUAAAGCAGGUCAGGCAAGUCGUGGAUCUAGAUCCACAUCUCGAUCUUGUUCAGUUGGAUCAUCGACGGCCUAGUGAUGCCAUCAUAGGGUUCAAUGACCGCUGCCUUUCCUUUGAACGCCCAAGGGCCUUCCUCCAUCACCUGUUCCCAGUCGCCUAAGCAUGAGAAUUGCAGAGUGUAAAUGUUUUCAUUGAGCGGCCUGAUCUUGACUUCUUGCGCCAGGUCCCACGCCACACGCAUGUUUCUAUAGAACCAGUACUGGCUGUAAGGUUUGUUCAUAUGAACCCUAGCCACCGCUAGCCAUCUGGCGCCAUUCUCUGGAAGAUCACUAUCCUCCACAACUAUGUCAUUCAGGUCUGCCUCAUUGAGACCAAGUUCCUUCAUCAUCUUCCCCAACUCGCUCGCACUGGAGCGCGCAGCUUCAGCCGAACUACCCAUCAGAUCUCUAGUUCAUGAAAAACUGUGUUGCGCGGACGGGAAAGCCCUAGCGAACCCCCCCCCCCUCCCCCGGCCUACCACCGCGACGGGAGCACAAAGCUCCGGUCAGACAGCGGCGGAAGGAGGGAAGGGGAGCGAAGUCUCCACGUCGAGCCGAAGGCGCCGUCGGGAGGAAGCGAAACCCUAACGAGAGGGGAGAACACGAAACACGAAGGCAUCCACGGCUACGUCAACAAACUGAGCCACGGUUCACUCGGCCCAAACGGGCUUUGCUAGGUCCACGUAAAGUUACGUGAACGUUUACGGCAAAUCCGGCAAAUCCUAUUCGGCGCCGGUUAACGUGCAUUUCGUUAACGGGCACCUGCGGCGCACACCACUUCCCGCAAGCUGGGCCGGCCCAUUAAAUAUUUUCUGUUAUUUGUUAUAUCGCAAAAGGAAACGCGAGAGGAGGGAAUCGAACCACCGACCUACUGGUUUCAACAACACCCCGCUAACCAACCACACACCUGCAUCUGACGCGAUUGAUUACCUUCUUUACUCUUGAUUUACUUACGGUUGUUUCGAACUGUUUUGUUCGUUUUUCUUUUUACGUUUUUUUCUUUUUUCUUUCUUUAUUCUUACACUUUUUGAUAAAUGAACAUUGUGCAAACUUUCUUCAAUUUCGCUUUUCUAUUUGUAAAACUGAUGAACUUUUUUUCAGUACGUGAAACUUUUCUUUUGAAUUUGACGAAUUUUAUUUCAACUUGAUGAACUAUUUUUUCAGAUUUGAUGAACUUUUUUUUGAAUUUGUGAACUUUUUUUUCCUUCUUCCUGUGUCAACGAAUUGUCUUGCAAAUACGUGAACUUUGUCUUCAAAUCGAUGAACUUAUAUUGAAACUUGAUGAACUUUUUCAAAUUCAAUGAACAUUUUUCAAAUUGAUAAACUUUUUUUCAAUUUUUUGAAUAAUUUUUAAAAAUUCAUGAACUUUUUUUAAAGUUUUCGAAUGAACUAUUUUCAAAAUUGAUGAACUUUUUUUUUCAAAUCCGCUGAACUCUUUUCAAAAUCAAUGAACUUUGUUUCUAAUUAUGAUGAACUUUUUUCACAUUCAAUGAACUUUUCUUAGAUUCGUUGAACUUUUUUCAAUUAUGACGAAAUUUUCUUAAAUUUGAUGAACUUUAUUUUCAGAUUCGAUGAACUUUCUUCAAAUUUUGAUGAACUUUUAAAAAACCAAUGAACUUUUUUUAAAUUUGAAAAAAAGUAAAAGUUUUCAUAUUUUUUUAAAGAAGUGCACACAUUUAGCCAAAAAAAGGAAAGAAAAAUGGCAAACAAAACCGUUACAGAAAAAAAGGACGGUUUUGGAAGCUUCCUAGACCGGGGUCUUUGCGAGGUGGACAAAGAAUAAAAGGGCAGCAACGACUUUACUGAGCACAUGUUGGUCCAUGGCGUAGUGGUUCGUGCACCCGUAGUUGUAGGUUCAGGUUCCGAGUUUGAAUCCUGCUCCAAGCGCCUUUUUUCCUCUUUUUACACAGAAAGAGGAAAAAUGGGCCGGCCCGCUAUACGCCCCUGCGAGCGCCAGAAUCAUUAAUGGGCACCGUGAGCGCCGACUAGGAGCUCCCAACGUUUACUUAAUGGCUGAGGUGGAACAAUAUUAGUGGAUCGGUGCCGGAGCAAGAAGCCCCACCCCGUUAAAACCAGGGGCCCGGAUAGGUUUAGAUAGGAAAUUUAUGUCGUAGCUUGUUUACGUAGGUGUAGGAUUAUUGGGCCCAAACUGAUGUUUGUCGCACUUCAUCCUCACGCCUUGCCGCUUCACACGACAUCGCCGUAUCACACGGCACUAUUGGCAUCUCACCGUCCUCGCCGCAUCGCACGACACUCCGACAUCUCGCCUGGCUCGUCGCUUCACACGACGUCUCCGGCAGCUCCCCUUGCACACCUUCGGCCGACGACUUGCCAGCCGUAUACGCAUCGCACGUACACCUUUCGGGCAACAAUAAGCCGCAUUGUACACCUUUUUUGCUCUUUUUACACAGAAAGAGGACAAAUGGGCCGGCUCGCUACACACCCCUGCGAGCGCCAGAAUCAUUAAUGGGCACCGUGAGCGCCGAUUAGGAGCUCCCAACAUGUACGUAAUGGCUGAGGUGGAACAAUAUUAGUGGAUCGGUGCGGGAGCAUGAAGCCCACCCCCGUUAAAAUCAGGGGGGCGGAUAGGUUUAGAUAGGAAAUUUAUGUAGUCUUUCGUAGCUUGUUUACGUAGGUGUAGGAUUAUUGGGCCCAAACUGAUGUUUGUCACGCUUCAUCCUCACGCCUUGCCGCUUCACACGACAUCGCCGUAUCACACGACACUAUCGGCAUCUCACCGUCCUCGCCGCAUCGCACGGCACUCCGGCAUCUCGUCUUACUUGUCGCUUCACACGACGUCUCCGGCAGCUCCCCUUGCACACUUCGGCCGACGACUUGCCGGCCGUAUACGCAUCGCACGUACACCUUUCGGGCUACAAUAAGCCGUAUCGCACGUACACCUUUUUUGCCCUUUUUACACAGAAAGAGGACAAAUGGGCCGGCCCGCUACACGCCCCUGCGAGCGCCAGAAUCAUUAAUGGCCGUCGUGAGCGCCGACUAGGAGCUCCCAAUGUGUACGUAAUAGCUGAGGUGGAACAAUAUUAGUGGAUCGGUGCGGGAGCAUGAAGCCCACCCCCGUUAAAAUCAGGGGGCCGGAUAGGUUUAGAUAGGAAAUUUAUGUAGUCUUUCGUAGCUUGUUUACGUAGGUGUAGGAUUAUUGGGCCCAAACUGAUGUUUGUCACGCUUCAUCCUCACGCCUUGCCGCUUCACACGACAUCGCCGUAUCACACGACACUAUCGGCAUCUCACCGUCCUCGCCGCAUCGCACAGCACUCCGGCAUCUCGUCUUACUUGUCGCUUCACACGACGUCUCCGGCAGCUCCCCUUGCACACCUUUGGCCGACGACUUGCCGGCCGUAUACGCAUCGCACGUCCACCUUUCGGGCUACAAUAAGUCGCAUCGCACGUACCCUUUUUUGCUCUUUUUACACAGAAAGAGAACAAAUGGACCGGCCCGCUACACGCCCCUGCAAGCGCCAAAAUCAUUAAUGGGCGCCGUGAGCGCCAACUAGGAGCUCCCAAUGUUUACGUAAUGGUUGAGGUGGAACAAUAUUAGUGGAUACGGUGUUCCCGCAAGCCACGUCCAUGAAUUGGCAAGAAAUCAUGCAUGGUCUGGAACUGUUAAAACAAGGGGUCAUAUGGAGAGUGGUCGAUGGUAAAAAUGUUAACAUUUGGAGAGAUAACUGGCCCCCAAGAAUUUCGGGACUAAAAAUUAUAGCUAAAAAGCAUCGAACUAGACUGAAGUGGGUGUCGGAAUUAUUCAUGAGCGGGACGAGAAGAUGGGAUGAAAAUUUGAUUAGGCAUUCAUUCUUUCAUCAUGACGCUGAAGAGAUCCUAAACUUACGCAUUCAGUCUGUGGGAGAAGGUGAUCUAGUUGCUUGGCACUAUGAGAAAAGUGGUAUGUUCUCUGUGAAAAGUGCGUAUAGACUGGCUUUAAAUCUCAAGGACAACAGGGGCGAGACAGGAAUAUCCAGUGCUGCUGUUAAUGAGGAAAGAAGACUGUGGGACGUUAUUUGGAAGGCUAAGGUUCCGCAAAAAAUUAGAAUUUUUGCUUGGAGAGUUGCGACCAAUAGUUUGACGGUUCUGGUGAAUAGAGUGACUCACCAUCAAACGGUCUCCAGUAUGUGUACUAUAUGUGGAGUUCAAGAUGAAAAUAUCUUCCACGCUCUGGUGACCUGCCCUAAGGCGCGUGCUUUGCGUAUCGCCUUGGGGGAUGUGUGGAAUAUUCCGAGGGAGGAGUUGUUCAGUUUUACGGGGCCAUACUGGUUUCUCAUCCUGCUUGACCAAUUGGGGUCUUCGGUACGCGAGCAAGUAUUAUUUAUGUUCUGGAGAGCUUGGCAUCUGAGGAACGAUUUAAUUUUUGGAAGAGGGAAAGAAUCGGUGAAUGCGUCUGUUAUCUUCCUGGAUAAUUAUUGGAAGACUUUCUCCACUUCCAACGCUCGUGUGCAAGUGGACCAAAGCAUCAAAGGGAAGGGGGUAAUGGGGAAUGGGGAGAAUCUUAGUCCGCAAAAAGAAAAUGAUCGUGCUGUUUGGAAGCCUCCAGAGCGGGAGUAUAUUAAGAUAAAUGUUGAUGCUAGUUUUGUGGAGAGCUUGAGAUUUGCUAGCGUUGGGGUUGUCGCUAGGAAUCAUCUGGAGAAGUCCUGGUGUCUUCUUGGGAUUUUAUUCGAAUAUGCUCCGGAGCGGAGGAGGCGGAACUUCGUGCGUGCCUCGCCGGGUUGUACAUUGGUAUUUCUCUUCACAAACCAAUUAUUUUGAAAACUAACUGCUCCUUUGCUGCUUCUUUCCUAGCGAAAGAAAUUGUUGACAGGUCUCCUUAUGUGGAUCUAAAAAUGGAAGCGAUCAGCGCCUCCAAGUUUAUUGUUGAUCUCAAGAUUGUUAAGAUUGAUAGGCAGGCUAACAAGGCGGCACAUGAGAUAGCAAAAUUUAGUUUUGAUACCAUGUCCGAUGGUAUUCUGUGUAAUUCUGUUCCGUCCUGCGUGACUAGUUAUGUAAUGAACGAUUGUAAGACUAUUGUUAUUUGAUCAAUAUAUGGAUGGAGUUUUUCAAAAAAAUAUAUUAGUGGAUCGAUGCGGGAGCAUGAAUCCCACCCCCAUUAAAAUCAGGGGGCUGGAUAGGUUUAGAUAGGAAAUUGAUGUAGUCUUUCGUAGCUUGUUUACGUAGGUGUAGGAUUAUUGGGCCCAAACUGAUUUGUCACGCUUCAUCCUCACACCUUGCCGCUUCACACGACAUCACCGUAUCACACGACACUAUCGGCAUCUCACCGUCCUCGCCGCAUCGCACGGCACUCCGGCAUCUCGCCUUGCUCGUCGCUUCACACGACGUCUCCGGCAGCUCCCCUUGCACACCUUCGACCGACGACUUGCCAGCCGUAUACGCAUCGCACGUACACCUUUCGGGCUACAAUAAGACGCACCUAAAAUCACCUAGCUACAUGCAGUACGAAAUUAAACAUGCAGAUAACUAAAUCAACAUUAAAGCUAACAGACCUCAUAUAAAGAAAAGCACACGGUCUUUGUUUCACAGACUAGCAACCCCCAAACCUAAACCACACCCAAAAGCAAGCACACGCUUCAGUCUUCAAAUGUGAGAUGACUUGGAUACUUGGCUAGCUAAUAUACUCUGAAUAUACAAGCAACCUUUUGUAUUUGAAAAAAUAAAAUAAGUAUUAUUCGAAACUUUUUGAAGCUAUAAAACACCUGGACUUCAUAUUUUUUGCGUUUAAAAAAAUAUUGCCAAGCAUAUUUGUCAUAUGCUUGCUUAGCUAGACGGUGGCCUUUAUCAUUAAUCCUUGAGUCGUUACGCUAUAUGUGCAUGCCGCACAUGUUACCACCACGACACGAGGCACCUCAUGGCCCUCGCGCGCUGUGUGUGCCUCCAUUUGGGCACGCCAUGCUAGCCGGCUGUUCACUUAAUUAAGAGAUGCACUGGAAAUGGUCGAGGAGGCGAGGUGGGACCAAAGAGGAGGAAGCUCUGCCCAUUCUGCUCUGUUCGCGAGAGGGCCGAGGGUUGAUCGGUUGAAGGCCGUGGGUAGUGAGCAGCUGCUGUUGGGCUGGGCCGCAUGGAGGAAUGGUAAGCACUGCCGUAAUUUUGUUCACCUCAGUUGUGCUGGCGGUGGGCCUCAUCUGCGAUGGGAGCGAAGGUCCUCCCGGCGUGUCGUGGGGGCAUGUGGACGGGAAAGGGUUCCCCUUGCUGGCGUUUGUUCCGUGGAGGCGUGUACUUACCUGGUCCUUCCUUGUGCUUACUUUGUGUGCUUGUUGUCCGCCUUGAGCUCGCUGCUUCUUCGAUUUCUAUGAACUGCUCCUGCAGGUUACCCCUUCUUCUUUCAGGCAUUGGGAGGUCGUUUCUUCAUGGGCGGCAAGGUUUGCCCGCUGCAGUGUGGCGGGUCACGUGUAUCUGCUCUGCUCUUGUGACCUCACACUAGUAGAAAAAGGGCCAUACGAACCGGUUCGUAAGGACCAUUGGUCCCGUUCCGCGGCAAUGAAGUAACUUGUGCGGUGAAUACUUUCCAAAUCCCGCGAGACAAAGAAAACAAUUACUUGAUAUCGUGAAAUGAACAAAGUUGCCAUAUGGUGCGAUAAUGAUCGAUUCAACUUACUUCUCAAGCAUCUUAGACAUGUUCGCAUAGUCCUCGGGAUCUUUUCGUCUCGAGUCGAAGACGUUUACUAGUCCCUGCUCAAGCUUAAUCUCUAGGAGAAUAUAGUGGAACCUGCGCAUGCAUGCAUAACUCAUCAAUUACAUUAAUUACUAUAACCUCGAGUAAUAAUUAAGGGAAACCGAAUAUGCACAAGACAAUAACACUCACUUGAAGUUGUAAGGAAAGAGUAUUGUAUCUUUGUUUUGAUUUAUUACCAAUAAUCGUAGCAAGUUGUCCUCGGUUUCUUUGGUAUGAAAUGUAACCGUAAAUUCAUCUAUGAGAUUUGUGUUAAUGAACCCAAUAUCAUACAUUUCAUUUUUUCUGCAUUCGACGAUCUUUAAUCUGCAUAAUAUAGUGUGGAUAAUUAUAUAUACAUGCAAUGAAAGAGCUGAGCUAUAUAGAGAGACUUAAUGACAGAAGUAGUACUUACAAACAGUAGCAAGUGACCAUUAAUUUAUCGAGGGCCUUCAGAUUGAAAAACUGGAAGAACUCCUCAAAUGGAACAGACAACUCCUCAAUUCCAACGAGGUCGUGAUGAUCCUCUUUAACUUUCAGCGUCAAAGUAUCUUUUUUUUCUCCCUUGCAAACUUUCUGCAGGUUUCCAUGUACCAAUCAUGGAAUCUUCGCAUCAUCGUUGUUAGAGUAGUUCCAUCUUUUACGAGAGUCUUCCCGUACUCGUAUUUGAAUUUGUCCACCUCCAUUAUAUCAAAAUGUGCAUCGUCGUAAUCUCCAGGAUUGGUACCGGGCAAGAUCCCCGGAUGAUUAGCGACGAUAUCGCUAGACACCUUGAGCGGGGGGCACGAUUGGUUCUCUUAUUCGCCGAGCUGGGGAAUUUUUUCCCAGUUCUUUGUUCUUGUAACCUUUUGUCACUGUAAAUACUUCCCGACCGCUUCGCUUCCUUAUAUGUCUUUUGGUAAUGCGCUCAUAGCUGGUUUGCGGCGGAGACGGUGGUGGUCGCUGCAGGGCAUCCAAAGUGCGCUUCGCUUUCACCGGAUCAAUCUUCUCCUCCGGAGGUGGAUGUCUCUUGGCUCUUUGCGUUUCGAAGUAGUCCUUCACUUGGGCUUGAUAGAUCUCCUCGUUUUCCUCUGCGGUCAUCUCGUAUGGUAACUUCUUUGGAGUCUUGAGAGAUGGACCGUAUCUGUAUUGCCUCCCGCCUCUGGCUGUACUGCUAGACGCCGGAGCAGGCCGAGCGGCUGCGGCUGUUUUCUUCCAUUGCUUACGAGGCGGAGGAGAAGGACUACGAUGCGCCGGAGCAGCCGGAGCGGCGGCGAGUCUCUUCCGCCUUUGCUGACGAGGUGGAGAAGGAGGAGGCUGGCUGGUCCAGCGUGCCGACCUAGGCGGAGUGCCACCACGCACCAGAGAAGGAGGCGGAGUGCCGCCAUGCGUCGGAGAAGGAGGCGGAGUGCCGCCACACGCCGGAGAAGGAGGCAGAGUGCCCUGAUCACUCGCCGGAGGAGCAGACGGAAGAGGAGGCGGAGUGUCCUGACUCGCUAGAGGAGGAGGAGGAGGCGGAGGCGUCUAGUUUGGAAGGUUGAUGAGCUUCUUCCGUCAUAGGCAUGGAGUCUUCAGCGCAGAACCCAGCCUAGUCUCCCCUUCACCAGUAGGGUGGUCAAGCACGAGCUCCUCAAAUCCCUCCGUUAUUUCCUCCACUGUCACCCUACACUAGUAGAAAAGGGGGCAAUGGUCCAGGCCGGGUCAGCCCAUUAGUCCCGGUUCAAUCCAGAACCGGGACCAAUGGGGGCAUUGGACCCGGUUCGUGAGCCCGGGGGGCGGACGGGCCACGUGGGCCAUUGGUCCCGGUUCGGCUGGACCUAUUGGUUCCGGUUGGUGGGACGAACCGGGACCAAUGCGCCUCGCUCCUGGCCCACCACCAUUGGUCCCGGUUGGUGGCGUGAACCGGGACCAAAGGCUGCCCUUUAGUCCCGGUUCGUGGCACGAACCGGGACCAAUUAGUUGCCUAUAUCUACCCCUCGCCCGCGAGCAGAGCACUCCCAGUGCUCUGUUUUUCGUGGCCGGCAAGGGGAGAGCUUUGUGAUGCUCUAGCUCACCUCUUAUGCACACGAGGUGUUCGAUGGAAUGCCCGAGCCACGCUACUUAAGCUUUCUCCUCUCCAAGCUCGACUUCCAAGCUCCAUUUUCCUCAAUAUUUGUCUAGGUUUAGCGGUCCAUCACGUCCCGUCCCCGUCUUCACCGCCGUCGAUCGCCCGCGCCGAUCUCGUCGCCGGCACCACCGUGGUGAGCCUCUUGUUCUUAUCUUCUUUCUGAAAGGAAAAAAAAUCUUACUUGUAUAUUUAUAUAGAUACUUGUAUAAUUUUCUUACUUUUAUUAUUGCAUCUUAUAUAGUGCGAUGGUUUUGGUAUCCGCCCCCGUCGGCCCUCGUCCUGUCUAUGAUUCAGAUGUGGUAUAUAUUAUCUUUUCAUAACUAUUGGUUCAUUUAUUGUUUAUGACAAUUAUGCCGACCAACGUGACAUAGAUUUUAUUUAUCUAGGAGGUUGUUGAACCUGAAAUUCCAACCGACCCUAUUGUCGAGAGGUUAAAUUUAGUUGAAGAAGAAAACAAUUUGUUGAAGGAAAAAAUUAGAAAAAUUGAGGAGGAGAAGAUGAUAUUGGAGUUGCAUGUUGUGGAUGUUGUCGAUGAUCACAAGAUCAAGAUGGAUGCAAUGCGCUUGAAGAUUAGAAAGAUUAGAAAAUAUGCCAUUCAUACCGAGGCUUGGUAUCAUUAUGCCGUUGGAUCAGUUGUUACAUUGGUUGCGAUUAUGAUCGCAUUUGUUUUCUCAUUGAAAUGUUUUACAUAGUUUUAGUGUAUGUUUUAAUUAAUUUAGAUGCUCUGCAGAGCUUUAUGUUGUUAGAUGAGAACUAUGUAUGUACUUUGGUUUUAAUGUGAUGAUGAACUUCUAUUAAUUUGGUCACUUAAUUAUCUAUUCAUGAUGUUCUGUAAUGAUUUUUGACACACUUAAUUAUAUAUAAUGCACGCAGAUGAACCGGCAAUGGAUGUACGGUUCAAGACACACCUCCGAGUACAUUAAGGGCGUGCAUGAUUUUCUCGAAGUGGCUGAGGCAAACAAGCAGAAUGGUUUUAUGUGUUGUCCAUGCCCUAUAUGUGGGAAUACGAAGUCUUACUCUGACCGGAAAAUCCUCCACACCCACCUGCUUUACAAGGGUUUCAUGCCACACUAUAAUGUUUGGAUCAGGCACGGAGAAAUAGGGGUUAUGAUGGAAGACGGCGAAGAAGAAGAGUACGAUGACAACUAUGUGCCCCCUGAAUACGGUGAUGCUACUGAAGAUCAAGAGGAACCAGACGAUGUGCACGAUGAUGCUGCCACGGGCGAAGCUGCUGAAGAUCAAGAGGAACCAGACGAUGUGCCCGAUGAUGAUGAUCUCUGUCGGGUCAUUGUCGAUGCGAGGACGCAAUGCAAAAGUCAAAAGGAGAAGCUGAAGUUCGAUCGCAUGUUAGAGGACCACAAAAAAGGGUUGUACCCCAAUUGCGAAGAUGGCAACACAAAGCUCGGUACCGUACUGGAAUUGCUGCAGUGGAAGGCAGAGAAUGCUGUGCCUGACAAAGGAUUUGAGAAGCUACUGAAAAUAUUGUAGAAGAAGCUUCCAAAGGAUAACGAAUUGCCCGACAGUACAUACGCAGCAAAGAAGGUCGUAUGCCCUCUAGGAUUGGAGGUGCAGAAGAUACAUGCAUGCCCUAAUGACUGCAUCCUCUUCCAUGGUGCGUACAAGGAUCUAAACGCAUGCCCGGUAUGCGGUGCAUUACGGUAUAAGAUCAGACGAGAUGACCCUGGUGAUGUUGACGGCGAGCCCCCCAGGAAGAGGGUUCCUGCAAAGGUGAUGUGGUAUGCUCUUGUAAUACCACGGUUGAAACGUCUGUUCAGAAACAGAGAGCAUGCCAAGUUGAUGCAAUGGCACAGUGAGGACUGUAAGAAAGACGGGAAGUUGAGAGCACCCGCUGACGGGUCGCACUGGAGAAAAAUCAAGAGAAAGUACUGGGAUGAGUUUGCAAGUGAGCCAAGGAACGUAUGGUUUGCUUUAAGCGCGGAUGGCAUUAAUCCUUUCGGGGAGCAGAGCAGCAAUCACAGCACCUGGCCCGUGACUCUAUGUAUGUAUAACCUUCCUCCUUGGAUGUGCAUGAAGCGGAAGUUCAUUAUGAUGCCAGUUCUCAUCCAAGGCCCUAAGCAACCCAGCAACGACAUUGAUGUGUACCUAAGGCCAUUAGUUGAAGAACUUUUACAGCUGUGGAAUGAAAACGGUGUACGUACGUGGGAUGAGCACAAACAGGAGGAAUUUAACCUAAAGGCGUUGCUGUUCGUGACCAUUAACGAUUGGCCCGCUCUCAGUAACCUUUCAGGACAGACAAACAAGGGAUACCACGCAUGCACGCACUAUUUACUUGACACCGAUAGUAUAUACCUGGCAAGCUGCAGGAAGAAUGUGUACCUGGGCCAUCGUCGAUUUCUUCCGACCAACCAUCAAUAUCGAAAGAAAGGCAAGCAUUUCAAAGGCGAGGCAGAUCACCGAAAGAAGCCCGCCAUGCGUACCGGUGAUCACGUACUUGCUAUGGUCAAUGAUUUACACGUAAUCUUUGGAAAGGGUCCCGGCGCACUAGCUGUUCUGAGUGACGCUCGGGGACACGCACCCAUGUGGAAGAAGAAAUCUAUAUUUUGGGACCUACCCUACUGGAAAGACCUAGAGGUCCGCUCUUCGAUCAACGUGAUGCACGUGACGAAGAACCUUUGCGUGAAUCUGCUAGGCUUCUUGGGCGUGUAUGGGAAGACAAAAGAUACAGCUGAGGCACGGGAGGACCUACAACGUUUGCACGAAAAAGACGGCAUGCCUCCAAAGCAAUAUGAAGGUCCUGCCAGCUAUGCUCUUACCAAAGAAGAGAAGGAAAUCUUGUUUGAAUGCCUGCUUAGUAUGAAGGUCCCGACUGGCUUCUCGUCUAAUAUAAAAGGAAUAAUAAAUAUGGCAGAGAAAAAGUUUCAGAACCUAAAGUCUCAUGACUGCCACGUGAUUAUGACGCAACUACUUCCGGUUGCAUUGAGGGGGCUUCUACCGGAAAACGUCCGAUUAGCCAUUGUGAAGCUAUGUGCAUUCCUCAAUGCAAUCUCUCAGAAGGUGAUCGAUCCAGAAAUCAUACCAAGGCUAAGGAGUGAUGUGGUGCAAUGUCUUGUCAGUUUCGAGCUGGUGUUCCCACCAUCCUUCUUCAAUAUCAUGACGCACGUCCUAGUUCAUCUAGUUGACGAGAUUGUCAUUCUGGGCCCCGUAUUUCUACACAAUAUGUACCCCUUUGAGAGGUUCAUGGGAGUCCUAAAGAAAUAUGUCCGUAACCGUGCUAGGCCAGAAGGAAGCAUUUCCAUGGUCCAUCAAACAGAGGAUGUCAUCGGGUUUUGUGUUGACUUCAUUCCUGGCCUUAAGAAGAUCGGUCUCCCUAAAUCGCGGUAUGAGGGGAGACUGACUGGAAAAGGCACGCUUGGAAGGGACUCAAUAAUAUGCAGGGACGGAUAUUCUUGGUCUCAAGCACACUACACAGUUCUACAGAACUCUACCUUGGUGACCCCGUAUAUCGAUGAACACAAGAACAGUCUGUGCUCCAAACACCCGGAGCAGUGCGACGACUAAAUUACAUGUGAACACAUCAGGACUUUUAGCAGUUGGUUGGAAGCACGUAUCAGAGGUGACAACACUGUUUGUGAUGAGCUGUACUUGUUUUCCAGGGGACCAUCUUUAACUGUAUUGAUUUGAAAAGGAUACGAGAUAAAUGGGAAUACAUUUUACACAAUUGACCAAGAUCAAAAGAGCACCAACCAAAACAGCGGUGUCCGCUUUGAUGCAACAACCGAGAGGGGAAAGGACACAAAUUAUGGUUACAUAGUGGACAUAUGGGAACUUGACUACGGAGUAGAUUUUAAGGUCCCUUUGUUUAAGUGCAAAUGGGUCAAUCUGUCAGGAGGCGGGGUACAGGUAGACCCACAGUACGGAAUGACAACAGUGGAUCUGAAAAAUCUUGGGUACACUGACGAACCGUUCGUCCUAGCCAAUGAUGUGGCACAGGUUAUCUAUGUGAAGGACAUGUCUACCAGACCGAGAAAGAGAAAAGAUAAGGAAGCGAAUACAUCAUACGAUGAGCCAAAGUGCCACAUAGUUCUUUCAGGAAAAAGGGACAUCAUGGGAGUGGAGGACAAGACAGACAUGUCUGAAGAUUAUGAAAAGUUUCAUGAAAUUCCUCUCUUCAAAGUCAAGGCUGACCCCAGCAUCCUGAUAAACGAUGAAGAUUAUCCAUGGUUACGGCGCAAUAAGCAAAUGACGCAAGCGAAAAAAAAGUGAAGACUUUCUCCCGCAACUAUUAUGAUGAUACCAUGCCAACUUUGUAACUGACGAGUAUGAUACCAUUGUCCGUUUUGUACAUGCACAUGCUAUGUGGGUCAAUUUAUGAUACCAUGCCAACUUUCAACUUUUUCAGAGUUCAUUUGAAAUGCUUUAAUGUCUUAUGGUUCGGCCCUCGUAAUAAUUAAAAAUAGCAACAAUAAGUAUUUUGUUGUAAGUAGAAACAAAAUAAAAUAAAUAAAGCAAUAAAGAAAACAAAAAAACAAAAAAAGUGUUUUCAAAUUUGAAAACUAAUGGCACUAACAAAAAGUUUAUAAUUUUCCUAAAACUAAAAGCAAAAACAAUUAAAAAAUAAAGCAAAAAACAAAAGAAAAUAAAUAAUGCAGAAAACAAAAGAAAAAAAAC
rnacentral:lncRNA from 1 species